rnacentral:lncRNA from 1 species
CGGAGGUCUCUGGGCCGCCAUCACCACGCCCUCUUCCUCUUCUUCGAAGUAGACAGACAAUCAGCGAUUUUGCGAUCAUGGGGAAGCAAAUCAGCGAGAUCAAGGACUUCUUGCUCACGGCCCGGCGCAAGGACGCCCGGAGCGUCAAAAUCAAGCGCUCCAAGGAUGUCGUCAAGUUUAAAGUCAGGUGCAAGAAGUACCUCUACACUCUCUGUGUCUUCGACACCGAGAAGGCCGACAAGUUGAAGCAGUCCCUGCCUCCCGGCCUCACUGUCCAAGAAUUGUAGGGAGGGUUGGGUAUGUGUGUUCCUUCCUCGCUUUUGUGCUUGCGUUAUAGAACCGGCACUGGGAGAAGAAAGCGAAAACAAGCUGAUUAGGGUUUUCUGGCUUGGUGGUGAGUCGGAAUGGGUAGCUUACUCGGUGUGGGAGGCAGGCUCGAGGGUGGUUCUGGAGGCUCGUGGGUUCACUCUUCUGCCCUCGUGUAUCUUUUGUACUCGGGAAACGUUAUCUGAAUGUUAUGGAAUUCUAUUAACAUGUUUUGUUUGGUAUAGGCGUGAUUUCCUGUGAGGCGCUGAUGUGUGUGUCGAAUGUGUUCUGUAAGAUGGCUUUUCGAUGCCUUGGUCGUAUUCCUAACGCCGUCUAUGCAGUGGAUGCAUUGGUUAUGCUAAUGUGAAUGAGUUUUUAGGUUUUAUUGUAUGUGAAAUUUUGCGCAUAUCUGCUUGUUUGUGAAGGUUCCGUGCACUUUCAACUGUUCGGGUAUGUAUUGAUGUUAUGGCUUGUUUAAUAACUUGAGUUAUUCUGUGCGAAGUCAUCACUUCCUGAGGUGUAUCGACGAUUUAAUUCCUUACGAAUUCGUGGGUUUUGAAAUUUCUUUCUUAUGAUUUGUAUCCAAAAAGGUUAUGCUUCCAGGGUUUGUGGUUGUUGAAGAAUAAGACAAUCAUCGUAAUAAAUGCCGAAUUCGGUUUUUGGUAUGUGAUUGAACGUCAAAUCCUAUUUCUCUACAUUAAUCUUUUUAAUUCUUAUUUUAAAUUUUUACAGAACGCUCUUACCGUCUACAUUCUGCUACGAUAGACACAUGCUUUGCCUUUAUAACAUAAGUGACGGUUGCAUAUAAUGUGGUUUUCUCUGAUUGAAUUUCCUUUCUGAUUUUAUCAAAACCUGGCAGGACUUAGACCAUUUGGGAAGUUUUAUUUUAUUUUUUUGAUAGAAAUUGUAGGUCGCAGGUAGUAGGUCUCUUAGUAGUGUUGAAAUAAUCGUGUUCUGUCUUUAAUGCCACCUUUAGAAAGGUUCUGACUCGUCGUGUAGUCAAGUGCAAGCUAACUCAGGAUCGUGGAGCUGAGAGGUAAUGCGGACAGUAAUUGCAAUGAGAGUGACCAUAAAAGGUGCUUUUGAGAAACACAUAUCUGUUUGAAGCAGUCAAUGAUAUGAAUCAUAUAUUUGUUUGCAUAGAUGAAAAAUUCUUUCCAAGAGUUUUGUACUUUAUGGACUCCUAAGUCCGCUCGUAACCUGCUUAGGCUAUUCGAUGGUUGUGUGAUGAUUGUUAGGAAUGACUGCCAUAGGGGAAAGCAUCCGAACAAUGUUUGUGUAUUCUGUCAAUUGAACUGGGAAUGUUAUAACUCUUGUUAUGUGCAUUCCAACGAUUCUCAUCGACCCCUGGUCUCGACAAUACCUGGGAGAAUACCAGUUUGAUGCUUGACUUCUCUGUGUACUCUCUACUGCUUCAGCAGUUGGUGAUAUGCCAUCGUCGCUUUUGCUCUGUGCACAUGUAAUAACGUUUCAUACAUCUGACAAGAAGAAAUUUCAGCUGGCUUGAUCACCUGAACGUCUCAGCACUGCAGGAUAUAUUUUCAUGUAUGGAUCGUGAGAAGUGUGGGUACGUGAUUUAUGCCUGUCACUGAUCACUGUCCAUAUAUUCCAGUUUCUUAGCAACCAAUCAUGCGGUUGAAUCAAACUCAAGUCGUAAGUGAAGACAGCAAAUGCAAACACAGGCAUGCGUGUCAUGUAACAGUUGCACAGGUGUAAUGAUGGUAAUCAGAAGUGGGAACUACUCGAGGUGAAUGUGCGGAAAGAAUACUUUAGGGAACUUCUCAAUUAAUUAGCUACCUUGCGGCAUCUAAACGAAUAUGGAAGGUGAAGUUAAAUCUAGUUCUAAUUGAAGGACUACUGUUGAAGGAAGCGAUAUUAAAAAGAGUAUCAUCAAAAAGAGUAUCAUCAAAAAGAGUAUCGUCACUGCACCAAACUAUACAAAAUUCGGCACUUCGAUGAAAAAUUGUCGCUUCCUUCAACAGUAGUCCUUCAAUUAGAGAUUGACGAUACUCUUUUUGAUGAUACUCUAUUGGAGAUCAACCUGGAUCAUAUUACUGGUUCUGUGAAGUUUGAAUACACACAACAGUGCCAGUGGUGCAUUCAAUACUGUAGAUUUUGAUGCCCUCAUUCUAUACGUUACAUUAUCUCAACAUUUUUAGAACAGCAUUUGGAAGAAUGUAUAUAAAUACAUAUGUUGAUAAAACAUUAAUUAGAGGAAAAUUCUUGUCUAUUACUGAAGGAGGAUAAUUAGUACAGGAAACAAAAGCAAGCUUUUUUUCAACAAAACAUGGUUGUGAAACUUUGCAAAAUUGAUUCGUACUUGCAACCAUCCAUAAUGUUCUUCUUUCUGAUGUUUUUAUACCUGAACUGCUUCAUCCUCUACAAACUACAUUAAAAAUGAAUGGUACAGUAUAUAUAUAUAUAUAUAUAUAUAUAGAUACUGUUCUUGAAUCCUUUGCUUGGAUAUAAUAGAUCUCAUAGUAUAUUAAAUUUCUCAAUGAUGAUGUUCUUAAAAUUACUACAUGCAUUAUUUGUAAUAUUUUGCACUAAGAAUGUAUUAUAUAAUGCAAGUUAUGUAUGAAUGCAUACAUGCAUUAUAAAAUUUAACACAUUUUCUGCAUGGAUUUAAAUUUUAUUACUUGGUUUUUGUCAAUAUCAUAAUUAAGAUAUGUAUUCUUCAUGUGCAAAAUAAAAACGAAAUAUGACAUUAAAUAUUACACACAUUUGUAAUAAACUUUAAUCAAUUGCAUCAAUGUCAUUAACUAUAUAGUGCAUAUUGUGAAGGACAAUUGCUGAUGUGCAAUUCAAAUGCAUUGUAUUACAUUAAUAUCAUGAAGUCGAAUAUUAUAUCUACAAAUAAAAAAAAUCAAUAUAUUACAAAUAAGCUUUUGAGAUUUUAAUUUUCUAUUUUUUCAUUAAUAUCGUUAUAGGUUAAUAUUUGUAAAACAUGUGCUACGUUGGCACACACAUAGCUUACACAUUUCAUAUGCAAAAUAUUUUAAUACAUUCUUUUUAAUACAAUAUGUUAAGUAUUCAUUAGAAAUUUAAAAAUCCUACCAUACAUAACACUUUAUUCAUAAAAAUCACACAAAAAACAGUAUGAAAUAGUAUCAUCCAAUAAUCCAAUCUAAAUUAGAACAACUUUUGUUGUAUAUAAAUUGGAAUAAUGAGAUGACCCCAUGCACUGUACUACAAGGAAUAAUAUAGAUCAUUUUAUUUUCUUAAAUUAUUUUAUAUUAUUGUAAGUGUAAAAUAUAUAAAACUUCAUUGCACAUUCUGAAAAUAAAAUUUGGUGCCAUUUUGCAGUCUAAGUCCUAUUUUCAAUUAAGUUCAUGUAGAAGAAUAAAAGAUACUGGAGAGGACAUUAUCAGUUUGUUGAUAUUUGGAAUGAAUUUACUUAAAAAUAUUGUAUCUGAUUGCUUGUAUACUAAUUAAUUAAUUAGUUAAAUUUGAAAAUAUCACAAUUUUUUUUAGUAGGCAAGUUUUAAUUAUUUAUUUUUAGAAACUAGCUUCUUUUCUUUAAGUUGGAUAGAAAUGAGAAGGAAGAUCAUAGAAUAUAUUUGUAUUGAAUAUCUUAACACUUCAAAGCCAAAACAAAUUUCUACAAAAACUAGAAAUUGAAGUUGGAUAUGUUUUUUUAUUACUAUACAUAUAUAUAAAUAAAUAUUUAUAGGAUAUUCUAAAAUCAUAAUUUUUUUAUAAGGCUAACAGAUUAAAUUUAUUCAAGAAAAAAUCAAAUAAAUUGAAAUAUAGAAAAAAUAGUGAUUUUUUUCAAAAAAAAUCAAUAAACUAUAAUUAGAAGCUAUUUCGAAAUCUUAAAAACAAAUACAAAAAAAUUCCGAAAAUCUAAUUAGACUUUAAUUACAAUAAUUAUUGAAAAUCUUAAAGCAUAUUUUUAUGAAAUACAAAUAUAAAUUCUAAAAUCUUAAUAUUUUUAGUAUGUGACUAUACACAUAUUUGAAUUAUUUACUUCUAUAAUUAUAAAAUAAAAAUACGAUUACUAAAAUAUUCAAGUAUAAAAUUUGAUUUUAUUACUAAUUUUACAUGCCUAAUCUUAAUAAUAAAAUAUCUGAAUAAUAAAGAAAAAAUUAUACUGGAUUUUAAAAAAUAUAUAUAUCUAUUCAACAAUUUUUGGUAUCUACAAGCAUCUAUUUUAAUGAAAAAAAUCUAUUUACAUAUCAAUUGGGACAUUUAUAUAUUUGUCUAUCUAAAAAUUUCUAAAAUCCUUCUCUAUGCUAAAAUAAAAUCUUAAGAUGCCAAUUUAUUUAUUAUUUAAUAAUCACAUUUAUUUUAUUUUAUAUUUUUUAUUGAUUUAUUGACCUAUUGAUUUUUUUUAUAAAUAAAACCAUAAAUUACUUAUUUAUUUGUUAUUUUUAUUUAAAAAUAAUUACUAUUAAUUAAAUUUAGAUGAUAGCACAAAAUUUAUAUUCUCAUAAAGUCACCAUUUCUAAUAUAGUUACAUUGCUUUAAAGAGAUGCAACUUUUUUUUAGAUUGAAGUUUCAUUAGUAGUAUAUCUUUCUAUACUUUAUAUAAGGUUUAUAAUUUUAAUCAAGAUUCUUAUUAUUAUGUAAUUCUAAUAUAGUAUUAGAAAAAUAGGAAUUUUGAGAAAUUUUAAAAAUAAUUCUGAAAAUAUUAUAAAAAUAUAACACUUAAAAUAGGAAGGAUUGUGUUAAAGAUAUUUUACACAAAAAUUAAGCACUAGUAUAUCUUUUAUCACAAGUAUGGCUAUUAUCAACCUUACUACUAAAGAAAGGCUAAAGUUUGAUGGCUCUUAUUAUACCAUUUAGAGAUAAAAGAUACAAAUAAAGAAUAAGAUAGAAGAAAUUGGUUUCAAUUUAUAAACAACCCUUUUAUGGAUGUCUUAUUUUAAAAAUAGAUUGCAAUUAGUUCUUAGAUGUUUAUUUCUAAAAGAAGAUUGAAUUAGACAAAAUUGGUUUCAGCUCCAAAUGUAGCAAUAAGAUAAUUAGUAAAAAACUAUGUAGCCAUUACUACUUAAAAAAAAAAGAAGAUCACAUUGCACUUGCAAGUCUCUAGGAUUGUAUAGACAACUCCAUAUUUUUCCAUGCAUGAGAUUACUAAAGCCAAGCAUCUCACAUCUUUGUGUAUUUGACAAUAAAAUUUAUGCCAAAAUCUUCAAAAAGUCUUAAAUUAAGCUUGAUGAUUGUUCUUAUGAAUGUAUUAUUUUAGAGUAUAACUCAAGAAAUAAAAUCUAUAAGAUUUGGAAAAUAAACAAUAAUAAGAUAAUCAUUUCAUGCAAUAGUAUCUUCUAAGAGGAAUCUCUCUUUGACAAAAUCCCUCUACCAGCAUAUAAUUAACAAAUGUAGAACUUAAAAGUGACCCUAUUUUUUAUCACACCUUUGAAACAACAUCAAAUAUUGCACUUUUAGAAAGAAUAUUAAUUUCUAAUCACCUAACAUAAUUAUUAUAUAUUCUUUUUAAUAUUUUUUUUGCCUAAGUCAAUAAAUAACUACCUUGGCUACUACAACAUCAUGCCAUAUAGAUCUAAUCACUUCCAAGAGAUUUUUUCUAUUGCCACAUUGUCACUCGCUAUGACUGUAGUGGAUACAUCUAUUAAAAAUCUUCUUGUAAUUCCAUUUGAUUAAUGCUAUAUAUCUCAUAAAUUUUAUAUCUAAUUACAUAUCAUUUGUUCUCAAUAAAUAGAUUUGUAAAUUUCAAUAAGGAACUAUCAAUGAAGUAUAAGAAGAUUCACUCUUUUUAGAACCACUACUACUACUUCAACUUUGAUAGUCUUUUGAAACAAUCCAAAGUGUUCUAAUUUUAUAGGAUUUGGCCAAAAAUUAUGAAGUUUUUAUCAAUUUAAAGCCUAAUUAGUUGUAAAAAGAUUUAGCCAAGUUUCCGGCCUUGAUUUCAUAAAUAACUUCUUUUAAAUGGUGCAAAUGUAAUUGUUUAAAUGAUUCUAAACCUUGAUAUGCAACAAAUUUUUUAUGUUCACCAAAUAGACAUAAAAAUUGUCUUUUUAAAUGGACUUCUUAACAAAGAAAUAUACAUGACUUUUUUAUAAGUAGUCUCUUCUUCCAAGAAUGGCAUAGAGUGUCACUUAAGAAAAUAUUUUACAAGUUAAAGUAAUCUUCUUAUUAAUAUUAUAAAGUCAUUGAUGGUUUUUUAGCCUCCUUUAGGUUUCUAAACUUUGAUGUCAAUGACAACAUCUACUUCCUCCUAAAAAACAACAAAUUUGCAAUACUAACUCUUUAUAUUAAUAAUAUCUUCAUUGCUUAUAGCCACCUUUCAUUGUUAAAAACAAUGAAGGCCAAGCUUCAUAAUUGACUUCUUUUUAAACUUGCAACUUGUAGGUUUUAUUUGCAUAUUCAUUAUAUUUUAAGAUUUCAAGUUAUUUUCAAAAUGCACCAAUGUUGGAUGGAAUAUAUAUGGAUGGAAUAUAUAUAGACCUUAUAUAUCCAACAAAGAUUGAUCAAGUAUAACUUUCAUAAUUUACAACUUAUUUCAGCACUAAUUGCUUCCAACAUUGAGCUCUUUGUUAUUUAUUAUUAUUAUAUACCUAUUUUUGUAAUUUUUUUUUCUAUCUAAAUUCCAUUAAUGCCUUAACUAAGCUAGUAUGUAUAUAUAAAUUAAUCUAUCAUUUGUAAUAAGUGUCCUUGCCUAAUACAUGCAUAAUCUUAGUUCAAUAUAUAUUUAAGCUUGUAAAUUUGCUUUCCAAUACUUACAAGAGUCUAUCAACUAUUACAUAGAGCAUCAUUAAAAUUCUAAUAUUUACCACCUUUACAACUUUAGUAAUGCUGAUUGGAUAAGAAACAUAAAUGAGUGCCAUUCUAUAUUCGACUAUUAUUUUUUCUUUUCAAAUAGCACUAUUAGUUGGAGAUUCAUAAAACAAAAAUUAUUAGCUCUAUCAAGCUUCAAAUUAAAAUGUAUAUAUAUAUAUAUAUAUAUAUAUAUAUAUAUAUUUAUAGCUAUUGUUGCUUCUAAAACAGUGUGGCUUUGUUACUUGAUUGAUAACAUCCAAUAAGAUUCAUCACAAUUAAUACUAAUCUAUUGCAACAAUCAAAGCGUUUUAGAUCUAGUCAACAUAAUAAGUUCUAUGCUUACACAAAAUAUAACUUAGUUUGACACAAAUUCAUUGAGUAAUUAGUAAUAAGUAAAUUACUUAUUAUCCUACUCAAGACAUACAAACCAACAUUUUGACAAAGAACUUAUUUAUUCCAAAACUUGCUUGCUAUCUCCUAAUAUUUAGAAUUUUUGAAAGAAUAUAUAUAUUUUUAUACCUAUUACAAGGUUUAUAAUUUUAAUUACGAUUCUUAUUAUUACAUAAUUUUAAUAAUUUAAAUAGGUACAUCCUUCAAAAUGACUAAAAGAAGAUAAUACAUAUUUAACUUAGCAACUAUUAUAUCCAUAAUUUGUUUUAGUUUCAAUUCCUAUAAUUCCUUGUAUUAUCUUACCUCCUAAAUUCCAAAACUUCCAAAAAACAUCCCUUCUAAAAAAAUGACUUUUGAAUUUGUUUUUUUUUUUUUUGUAUUUUUAAUACUAUCAACUAUAAGAUCUUGUUUUUAAUUUAUUUUAGGAUUAGUCUAUUAAUUCUUAGGUACUAAGGCUAUUACAUGUAAAAUAUCUAAAUAUUCUAAGUUGAAAAAAAUAUUUCUUUUGGUAUUCUUAGAAAGACAUAGUAAGACUUGUAUUAUGCAUAAUUUUUGCGUUUGAUUUCAAAAUUUUUAGAAGAUUUUUGUAUUAAGAUAUUGUCAAGUUGAGCACAUGCAUGCAAAAUCUUAGAGUAAGUAGACAUAUAUAGCACCUUCAAAUAAAUUAUUUUUAAAAAUUAGGUAAUUGAAAAAUUAAUAAAAAAAUGAAUUAUUUAAAAAAAUCAUGUUAUUGUUGUAUUAUGUAAAGUCUUCCUUGAGAAUUCACUAGACACUUCGUUGUAGACGACAAAUUAGAAAUUGCAACAACAAGCUUCUAACAACUUUAAUAGAAUCAUAAAUAAACUCCAAUUAAAUCUUAAAAAUCAUAAUUAAAUCUUAAUCAAAUCUAAAAAAAUAAACUAUAAAAGAAACAUAAAAAAUCCCAAGUAUUUUUUAAAUAAAUUAUAAAUAAUUUUACAAAAAACUAUAAAGAAAUUAUAUAUAAAUCUUAUAAUUUUUUUUUUUUUUUGAAGAAGUAAUAAAAAAUAUUUUAAAAUAUUCAAAAUAGAAAAUUUUAAAAAAUAUAAAAAUAGAAAUAUUAAAUAAAUUCUAAAUAAAUCUUGAUUAAAUUCUAAAAAUUCCUAAAUAAAUCUUAAUUAAAUUAUAAAUAAGAUUUAAAUAAAUAGUAUUGAAAUUAUAAAAAAAUACUAAAUAAAUCCUAAAAAAAUCCUAAAUUAAUUAGUAUAUCAAUCUUAAAAUCCUAAAAAUAUACAAUUAAAUCAUUGUUAUAGAUAUACUUAUUUAUUUAAAUAAGAAGUCGUAGGUAGAAGAUAAAAGUAAAUAGAUUUGAUAUUAUCUUAUGGUGUAGCUUCUUAAAAGCUUCAUGGACGUGUAUUUGAUUUUAUACAUGUUUAUAAUUGAUUAGUAGAUUAGAAACUUUGCCAAUGAGUUAGUCAUAUUUUACACAUGUAAAUAGCUUGUAGUACAAGCUUAUAAUGUGACGCGCUAUUGUGUGGCAUAAUUUUCUAUCUGAAAAUACACUGGAUACUUAGCUAUAGAAAGUUUAGCUUUAAUUUUUUAGACAAGUUCAAAUAAAUAAUAUAUUUUUGUUAUAAAGGCCAAAUAAAUAUAAUAGUAUUAAAAAAUAUUCUAUUAAUAAAAUAUUUUUAUAUUUAAUUUUUUUUAUAGACAAGGCUUUUUAAAGCAUCUAGAAAUAUCCUAACAUCCUUUGCUAUACCAAAUCAUAACUAACUAAUUGAUGAUGAGUUUGAUUUUCUAUAAGUUCAAAGAAAAUCCAUGAUCUUCUUAUAAAAAUCUAUCUUUAUAUUAUAAUUUUGCUAUAGCUCCAUAUCUCUAUCUUUAAUAUAUUUAUAAAGUCUUGGCUCUCAAAAAUCCCUUUACUUUUCAUAAAAUGCCCAAAUUAUAGCAAAAUCCUUUUAAAGUAUUUUUUUUCCCUCAAAAGAUUUUUUUUCUCUAAACUUUAGAAAUUCAUAUCUCUUGAUCUAAUUAUUUGAUUUUUAUUAAAUUUUUAGAUAAUAUAAAAUUUAUCCUUAAGCUUUAUCACAUUUUUUUUUUUUUUUUUUUUGUAAAUCUCUAACAAAUUUUCAAGAAUCCUAAAAGCCCUAGUAAGUACUUCAAAUUCUAAUUUAUAAGCACUCAAGUACUAUUUUUUCUAUAUCUCAAAAAUCCAAGAUUUAAAUGCCACAAAAUUUAUAUAUAAAAUUUAGUAACAUGAUAAUACACAUUUUUGGAAAUGUUUAGCUAAAAUCUUGUCAAAUUUGUUAAGAUAUAGUUCAAAAUAUAACCACUAGUAAAUUGGAUCACUUAUUGCCCUUAGAUUGCAAGUGCUGACUUUAACUUCUUAUAUUUCUUUAAUCAUAGUUUAUAAUUCAUUAAGCAAUACAUGAAAAGUUUAGCCAAAAAAAUAUUUUUUCUAAUCUUAAUUUUCCAUCUUUCAUUGCUUUUCAUAUACAUAUGUUAUAUCCAAAAGAAUGAUAGUAGAUACAAAACCAAUACCUUAAAUUUGAGUGCCUAUAGCUUUCUUAUAAAAACUCCAAAUCAUAAAAACUUUAUAUCAAAAUCAUAGCCAAAAACCUUAACUUUUUGAUCUUUAUUUCUAAAAUUCAAAUGGCCUCGAAAGGAUAAUCCUAAUCCCUAAUAAGGCCUUAGGCAACCUUCUUGAAAUCCAUUGGGCAUGCUUUUUGGCCUAUAGUAAUGGAGAUUUUCAUCAUCUAUCUCCAUUCAUCCAUAUAGAUAUCUUAACUAUUCAUUUUGCUACCAAAAUUCCUUUCCAAUCCUUUUUCUUAUAAGAUUUACAUAAUAUAUGUCCUAAACACCAAAUAAAAGAAAUUAAAUAAGAUUUUAGGAAUCACCAAUGCUUAAUAAAUGUGGCUCUAAAUAUAUAAAACUAUUAUCAACAUAAAAUCAACCUUAAUAAUAAACUUUUUAAACUAAUCACUUUAAAAUAGUAAUCUAAUUAUAUUUUUUAAUCAACAAAAAACUAAUAAUAUGACUUUCACCAUAUUGUGUAGUAAAUUAUAUAUAUAUAGAUUAUUUUCAUAUAGUAGCUACACCACAACACAACAGCAUAAAUAAGAAACUUGCCUUGUAAGUUUAGACACAUGUCUUGUAAUUUAGACAAGCAUUAGAAUUCAUAUAGAAUGUUGCUACAUAGGACUUAGUUAUAUAGUAUAUAUAGAAACAAGAAUGAAGCUUUUUUUACUCUUGCCAAUAUGAUUCUAGUCCUUAGUCUUAUUCUAAGACUUUUUAGUCUGCAUGUCUUUGGUAAUAGCCAUUUUAAUUUAAUAAUAUACUAUCUUUGAGUAAUUUUUUAGUCUUUUUGAGUGGCAUAAGAAUUUAUUGAUCUUUUAGUUCUUUGAAAUUUAUAUUUUUGAUAGUUGAAAAGAAUGCUAACUUAUUCAUAUUAUGUUUAGAAGUAAGUGGAUUAACUCACUUUUAUUAUUGUAUUUUGAAGGUUGUGGACUAUCUACCUUUAAAUUAACUUUUGAUUUUUUAAGCAUUGAUUGUUUUUCUUUAAGAGAUAAAUAUUCUUCUUGAUAGAAAUUUUUAUUUAAUAUUAAGAAUUAAAAAUUAUCCUUUUCUAAUUUAACUUAAGAAUUUAUUUGAUAUGUUUAUGGAAGAAAAAAUUGUGGAUGCUACUCAUAGCAGAAGUGAGAAAAGAUUUGUAACUAUUGUAGAUCUUUAUGAACUUGUCAAGAAUCUUAGCAUUGAAAUUUUUAAUGUAAACCAUAAAAGUAUUAUUUCUAAUGUAAACCGUAAAAGUAUUAUUUCUAUACUUAUAGAAGAAAUUAACAAUGAAGUUUAGACCCUAUGCCAAAAAAUUAUGCAAUUGAGAGAAGCAAGUAGAUCAAGUUUAUUAUUAAAUGUAAGAAUUCUUAUUUCUAGAAAUAUGAAAGAUGUAUGAAUAAGUAUGUUGGAGAAAUUUGACAAAAUAAAAUCAAAAUUUUGGAGAUUUCUACAAUAAGUGAAGUUGUUUUCAAGGUUGCAUCUUUUCCAAUACUUUAAUAAAUUUAUUCAAAUUAUAUUUAUAAAUGUAUUUAUAUUCAAGAGUACUUUUUUUAGAUUUUACCUUUGAUAGAAAAAGAUUCAUGAUUCUUUUAUGAUUUGAAUUCAUUCUUAGAAGUACUUAUAGCCAUAUUUAAAAAAAAUAAUUGAAAAAAAAUAACAAAGUCUAAACUCCUAUCUUUACAACAAGGAUCACUUUCAACCAUCAUAUAUGUUGCAAAAUUCCAAAACCUUCUUUGCAACAAAGAUUGAAAUGACAAAAUCCUUAUUAAUCAAUUUUGAUAUAAAUUAAAAGAUAAUAUGAAAGAUUUAUUGUUAACAAUGUCAAAAACAUACUCAUUAUGGUAAUUUAUUACUCAAGCCAUUGCAUGCAAUAAUUGAUUUUUUAAAAGAUAUUAAGAAAAAAUAGUUUGGAUUGAAAGAUAUAACUCAAGUCCUAGUGACAACUUCUAAGUUUGUAGAAACUUAUUCAUUAAGGCCAAAACCUAUGCAAAUUGACAUGGUACGUUUCAAAUUUCUUAUUGAGCAAAAAAAGACUUGAUGUCAUUAAGAAGAAUUGUGCUUAUAUUUUAGAGAAUCUAAACACACUAGUCAAUAUUAUCUUAAAAAACAAUGUAAUCAAAAAAUGAAGUUGAUAGUUAUUAAAGAUGAUGAUGUAUUGGAAAACAAGUUCCUCCAACUACAAUAGGAAUCGUGUGGCUAAAAUCUUAUAUGUUAUCAAGUAAAGGUUUUGUUUUUUUUCCUAGAGUCUUUGUAUUAUUUUAUAAUAAAGUUUUUUUAGGACCAAAAAAUUAGAAAGUCUUUUAUUUUUUAGAUUUAAGAGCUUUACUUUAUUUUAUAGACAAAGUCUUUAUUAAAAAAUAAGAAAUAUUUUUAAUUAAGAAAAAUAAACCUAUACAUGUAGAAAUUAUAGAUGAUUGUUUUUUAUUCUUUAGAGAUAUUAUAUAUGAAAUAAUUCAUUUAGAUAUAGUAAUUAAAGAUCAUAAUAACUUAUUAAUAUUUAAUGUAAUUAGAUUUCUUUUUAAUUCAAUUAUUUUAAGAUUAUUAUGGCUAAAAAAGUAUAAUUCUUAAAUAGAUUAAAUUUCUUAUAACUUUAAUUUUUUCUAUAAUUUAGAAUAGGAUUUUGCUAUUCAAGUAGAAAUUCAUAAGUCUAAUAUAUCUAAAUUCUUAUUCAUAGGUACAAGAGCUUUCAUGCAUACUACAAAAGAAGUAUCAACUUUUGUUAUAUAUGCUACAUCUAUUUUUAAUAAAAAAAAGUUUCAAGUGGCAUUCUAAACCAAUAUUAAGAUUAUCAAGAUAUUUUUGAAAAGAGAAAUAUAAAUAUUCUUUCAAAACAUUGUUUUUAUGACUAUUCGAUUGAUCUUCAAGAAAGAAUUCAACCAUUAUUCAAACCAAUCAAUAACUUAUCACAAAAUAAGUUGGCUGCACUCAAAAAGUACAUUGAUAAGAAUUUGGCUAAAAACUUCAUAUUCCAUUCUAAAUCUCCAAUAGAAGCUCUUAGCUUAUUUACAAAGAAAAAAGAUAGAUCUUUAUAGAUGUCUGGAUUAUUGAAGACUCAAUAAGAUGUCCAUAAAAAAUAAGUAUCUUCUAUCUUUGAUUUUAGAAUUUUUUAAUCAAUUAAAUAAAAAAAAUAUCUAUACAAAAAUAUAUUUACAAAGAACAUAUAAUCAUAUUUGAAUUAAAAAAAAGAGAUGAAUAAAAAACUACGUUUUGAAUUAAGUAUGGACAUUUCAAACAUAAUAACAUAUCUUUUGAAUUCACAAAUGCAUCAAUUAUUUUUCAAAAUUUAAUGAAUAAUGUCUUUUAUAAAUUUCUUGAUGAUGUUUUUAUCUGAUAUUUAGAAAACAUCUUAAUGUAUUCUAAGAAUAACAUGAACUUCAUAUUCGUCAUGUAUUACAAAAAUUAAAAGAUACAUAAUUAUAUGCCAAAAUGAAAAAGUAUAUAUAUUCUAUACUAUUCAAAUUUACUUCUUAGGAUACAUCAUUUCAAAUAAUGGCCUUAUGAUGAAUUCUAAGAAGAUCCAAAUUAUCAUGGAUUAAAAGAUUUCAAAAAUAAUCAAAGAUAUGCAAUAUUUUUUUAGAAUUUGUCAAUUAUUAUUGAAUCUUUAUCAAGAAAUUUUUUCAAAUUGUAGCUCAUAUUAUACAUUUGACAUGUAAAGUCAAACUAGAGUAGAAUAAAAAAGUCAAAACAUCUUUUGAAGCCUUAAAGAUAAUAUUUAUUUCUUCACCAAUUUUGUAUUGUGUUGUUAUGAUGCACUUAAUUUAAGCACAUCAAAGAUAUUUGGAAGAUAGUUAAUUUUACUUGUAAGAAGGGAAGAAUAUUAUACUAACAUAUUUACAAAUUUUAGUGGGAUUUAGAAUAUAAAAUUAUUAUCUUGAAUGUAUUGUUUAAGCUUUGAAGGUAUUAUCUUUUAAGAUACAUAUUCGGCUCUAUACUGAUUCAAGGCAAAUAUUGGAGAAGAUCAGAGUAGGAAUUUUGGCAUUAAGUGGGAUUUUUUUUUUUUUUUUUUUUUUUUUUUUUUUGUUAGAUAGGAGUGUAUAGGAAGGAGGAUUGUUGGAGUUUUUUAGCAGCUAGAUUUAAUACUUAUUUGGGAUUUUUUAUACUAUUUAUUGAAUAUUUUUCUUUUUUCUUGAGAUUUUGAAGAAGAUUAGAUUUUACUAUUAGCUUUUUAAUAAGCUAUUAUAUACAGAAAAAAGAGCUAUGACAAGAGAGAUUCAUGCAAAUUUAUAUGAAGAAAGUUGCUAGAAUUUUUGAAUGGCAAGAUUCAAGAAUAAUUUAGAAUAUUUUUAUAAUUUAUUGGAUUUUAUUUUUUUAUUUUUUUUAUCUUGAGAUUUUAAAAAAAUCUAGAUUCUAUUUUUAGCUUUCUAAUAAGCCAUUGCAUAUAAAAAAAAGAGCAAUGAUGGGAGAGAUUUAAAGUAAUUUGUAGAUGGGAGUUUUGAAGGCUGUAGUUAUAGCAAGCAGCCAACUUUUUUCAUUGAUUUGGCUUUCAAUUUCUUUGAAAUUUAUUUGUCAAUUUAUCAAUUUUGAAGUUUAUAGCUUGAAUGAAGCUCUAUGAGCUAAAUUUUAUCCAAAUUGGAUUAGUAAUAAGUAAUUUGAAUUCAUUUAGAUAAUAUUAUGUUUCUUACAAUUCACUUGCAAUUAAAGAAUCCAUGUUCUUUUGAGGAGGCUUACCUUUUUGAUAACAAAAUUUUUUCUAAGGUAUUUUUUAUUAAAAAAAAUAUAUUAGACUUUGCUAUAGAUAUGGUAUUGUCACAAAUAGGAGCAGAUAAUAAGCUCUAUUCAAUAGCUUUCUAUUCCAAAAAAAUUUAGUAGCUAAGAUCAACGACAAAUAGCUUCUUGCAAUUGUAGAUUUAUUUAAAAAAUAGCAUCAUUAUCUAGAAGGUAGUUUUAGUCUAGUUAUUGUAUAUAUGGCUUAUAAAAAUCUUGAGUAUUUUAUCUCAGCAUGUGUUUUAAAUCGUUACAUAGCUUAUUGAAGUAUGUCUUUAUUAAGAUUAUUUAUUGAUUCAAAAAACAAAAAAGUUUGUCAAAUGUCCAUUCUAGACAAUCUUAACUUAUACCAAAAGAAGGAGAUGCAACCUUUGAUCAAUAAAGAAUAAUUUUCUUAAAACCAAAGCAUUUUCAUCUUUAAGUAAUUGAAUCAACAUUAACUACUAAUUCAACUUUUUUCAAGCAAUUUCAAUCAAGUAUGUCUUCUCAUUCUCUUGUUGAUAUUAUUAAAAAUAUUUUUUUAAGUCUCAUGAUACUUCCAAGUUUAAGUUCAAAAACAAUCUAUUCUAUUUCAAGGUAUGAUUAUAUAUUCUAAAAGAUGAAGUACAAUUUCUUGUUCUUCAAGCUCAUCACAACUUUUAAAUAACUAAAUAUUUUAAAUAUAAUAAGACUUUGAAGCUAAUAUCUAGAGAUUUUUGGUGAUUUUAAAUAUAAAAAUCAAUUAAAGGCUUUUUACAAUCAAAUGAUAUUUGUUUAAAAUUGAAAUCUCUUUGUCAUCCAUCUUAUGAAUUUUUUUAACCAUUACCUAUUCCAAAACAACCAUUGUCUUUUGUUUCUAUAGAUUUUAUCAUAGAUCUUAUAGUCUCAAGUUUUAUUGAUUUUAUAUUUUUGAUAGUAGAUUUUUUUUUUUUUAUCAAAAUAGCAUAUUCUAUACUAUAUACAAAAUUUAUUACAAGUAAAAAAAUAACUAAGCUUUUUCUUAAUAAUAUCUCUAUUAUAGAUUGCCUAAGGAUAUUAUAUUGAAUAGAGAGAUUUAAUUUGUAAUAAGAUUUCAAAAAACUCUUUUUAUAAUUCUAAAGGUGGACAUAAAGUUAUCUUUGGCUUUUUAUUAUUAAAUCAAUUAAUAAAUAGAGUAAAUAUAUUAAUUUUUGGAGUAAAAUUUGAAAGGUACCAUCAACUAUCAAUAAGAUGAUUGAACAUGUCUUUUGCCAUUGGCCAAGUUUGCUUGUAAUGAAAUAGUAUAUUUUACUACUUAAUUAAUAUAUAUUUUUUAAUUAUGGUUAUCAUUAGUGACUUGAUGCUUUUGACUUUUCAAAAGUUAAUAAUCUUAUAAUAGAAGAUUUUAAAAAUUAUUUAUUUGAGUUACAUACAACAAUGAAAGCACAAUUAAAAGAAGCUCAAGAAUGACAAAAGACUAAUGCAGAUGCAUAUUGCAACUUCAAUUCCACAUUGUUAACAAGGUGUGAUUACUUUGUCCCAAUAUCAAGACUAGCUACUAUUGUGAUAAGUUGGAUUAUUGCAGGCUUGGAUUAUUUUUUAUUUGUGAAUAAAUCAAUCCAAUUGCUUAUGAAUUACAUCUAUCAAAAUCUAUAAAAAUCUAUCUUGUAUUCCACAUUUCUCUUCUUAAAUCAUAUAAGACAAUAUAUAUCUAAAAAAAAAGACAAAUGCCACUUCUUUCUAUAAAAGGAGAUAAUAAUGAAGAAUUUAAAGUAAAAAAAGUCUUAUACUCAAGGUGGUGUCAAUUGAGGUUGGAAUAUCUUAUUUAUUGGCAUGGAUAUGAUAUUAAUGAAUAUAUAUGGGAGUUAAUAAAGAAUCUUAUAAUUGCAACAAAAAAAGUUGAUGCUUCUCUUCGACAAUAUCUAUCAAAACUAAGAUAAAGAAUAGCAAAUCUUUACUAUAAAAUAAACAAGAUCUAAAGUAAAUAUUAUUUUAUCAUCUAUUCUUGUUUGUAGAUUUUAUGUCAAGGACAAGAACUCGAUGAAAAAACAGUUCAGACAAGUAAGCCUUCACUCAAAGAAAAGUAACAAAAUAUAAAUAAUAAGUAUGUAUAUUGAAAAGAGAAACUAGAAUGGCUAUUGCCAAAAGACAAGAAAACUAGAGACCCUUGAAACUAGACUAGAAGCAAGAAAGGAGUUGACAAGAGUGAAGAAGCCUUCACUCUUGUCUCUAUAUAUACUAUCUAACUAGGGGCUACAUGGCGACGUUCUAUAUGACCUUCAAUAUGUGUUGACUUUGUAGGACACAUGCCUUGACUUACAAGGCAAGUUUUUCUACGUGUGGGCCACAUAGUUAGCUUAAUCUUCAAGCUAACAACAUGUGUGGCACAUGGCCAACUUGUUGACCACGUUUCUAAUCCAAAAAGUCAAUUAAAGACACCUAUGAAGUCAAAGCAGCGUCUAGGAAGUUUCUAGGAAGCUUUUAUAUUAAAUAUUAUAGAAUUAACUUACUUUUAUCUACUUUUAUUUACUUCUACCUAUUCCUAUAUGUAAUUAUUAGCUUACAUGAUUAUGGCCGUGACAUUACCCCCCCUUCUAGAGACGAGUUCCACGAGGAGCGGUCAUCAUAUGUUGAAGAAAUCUAUGAUGCGACGAAUUGUAUUCGCCACAUACUCUGAUCUCUGUUCUCUUUGAAGAUGAUUGAUAGGGCCUCUCAAUCAUCGGUAGUGUCCCAUACUAGGGCGGGAAGACCACCCAGUUAUUUGAUCAUUAUUGAGGCCUUCGUAACUUCCUUCGAAUAGAAUAUUUGGAACACCAUCUGGAGUUGUUCCUACCUCUAGCAAAAUCACCAAACAUCAAGAGUCCCUUCCCAAAUCGUGAUACCAAACGCGUUGUAUCUCACCAUCUAUUCAAGGAAGAACAUGUCGUUCUUGAAGAUCUUCAUCUCGAUUGCGUCCUCUUGAAGGUUGUGACAAUCGUAAUGUCUCCUCCGGCAGGUCAGCAAACAAAGGUUCUUGAGUUGAAUCCGCUGGUUGUUGGCUCUCCAUCUAAUUAGCGUCACAAAUGCAAAGAAGUUACAAACAAGGAUAGGAAAUUGAAUGUUAUCUUGCCUCAAUCUUGUCUCUUUUAUAAGAGAGAUUUUCAUCUUGGUUUUGAUGGAUGUCGUUGAUGAAAAACUUUGACUUUAGCUGAUGCAUUUGCUAGAUUCAUGGAUGGCUCCCAUGUGCGUUCACUAAUAUCAUAUCCGCGCCAAUGAACAAGAUAUUUCAGCUUAUUUCGACGCCGCCUUGACUCUAAUAUCUCUUCCACUUCAAAUUCUUCAUUAUUAUCUACUUCUAUAGGAGGCGGUGGCAUUUGUCUUCUUCCUUGUAUAUCUACUGUCUUAUAUGGUUCAAGAAGAGACACGUGGAAUACAAGAUUGGAUCUUCAUUGACUCCGGUAGAUGUAACCGAUAUGCAACUAGGUUGAUCUGUUCAGAAACAGAAAAGGGGCCAAGCCUACGAUAGUCCAACUUGUCACAAGGUCGAGUAGUCUUGAUAUUGCGACGAAGUAGCCAUACCUUAUCACCCACGUUGAUUUGUGGUUGCUCCUUACGAUAUAGAUCUGCGUUUAUCUUUUGUCGUUCUUGAGCUUCCUUCAAUUGCGUCUUCAUUAUUGCAUGUAACUCUGACAACCGAUUUGCCAUAUCUUCUGCUACAAGAUUAUCAACUUUUGAAAAAUCAAAAGUAUCAAGUCGUGGAUGAUAGCCAUAAUUGGCAAAGAAAGGUGUUUGUUGCGUGGAAGAAUGUACCGUAUUAUUAUAAACAAACUCUGCCAAUGGCAGAAGGGUUGUCCAAUCAUCUUGUUGGUAGUUGAUAGUACACCUUAAAUAUUGCUCUAAGACUUGGUUUACGCGCUCUGUUCGUCCAUCAGUUUGAGGAUAGAAAGCCGAAGAUAGCUUUAUGUCCACUUUUAAAAUCUUGAAAAGGGUCCUCCAAAAUCUUGACACAAAUUGAGUUCCCCUAUCCGAUAUGAUAUCUUUAGGUAAUCCAUGAUAGCGAUAGAUAUUAUCAAUGAAAAGCUUAGCUGUUUCUUCACCUAAGAUAGAUUUUGUAUAUGGCACAAAAUGUGCCAUCUUGGUGAAACGAUCUACUAUCACAAAUAUAGAAUCAUAAGAUCUUGAGCUUGGAAGAUCUGUGAUGAAAUCCAUAGAAACAGAAGACCAUGGUUGUUCUGGUAUAGGUAAUGGCUGAAGAAGUCCGUAAGGUCGAUGACGAGGAAUUUUUGAUCUUGAACAAAUAUCACAUGAUUGUACAAAGUCUUUGACUGACUUCCACAUUUGUGGCCACCAAAAAUCUCUUGAUAUGAGUUCCAAAGUCUUAUUAUAUCCAAAGUGCCCUGCUGCUGGAAAGUCAUGACGUGCUUGAAGAACACGUAAACGUGCUUCUCCUUCUGAAACAUAUAGGCGUCCUUCAAAAUAUAAUAGAUUAUUCUUGAACUCGAACUUAGAAGGAUCAUGAGACUUGGAAGAAUUAUUCUCGAUAUCAUAAACAAGAGAGUUUGAGGACAUACUGGACUAGAUUUGCUUGAGAAAAGUUGAAUCAACAGUCAAUGUUGAUUUCAUUGCUCGGAGAUGAAAUUGCUCCGGUUUCAAGAGGACCGUUCUUUGUUGCUCAAAAGCUGCAUCUCUUUCUUUUGGUGCAAAAUAAGAACGUCUAGAUAGGGCAUCAGACAAACCUUGUUGUUUUCCUGGCCGAUAAGUGAUAAUGAACUCGAAUCUUGACAAAGACAUACUCCAACGAGCUUGACGACGAUUCAACACGCGUGCUGACAUGAAAUAUUCGAGGUUCUUGUGAUCUAUAUACACAGUGACUGGACUAGAAGCGCCUUCUAGAUAAUGACGCCAUUCUUGAAAGGAAUCCACGAUCACAAGAAGUUCUUUAUCGUAGAUCUCAUAAUUGAUCUCGGCUGCUGAGAAUUUUCUUGAAUGAAAAGCUAUUGGAUGAAGUUUGUCAUCUGUUCCCAUUUGUGAUAAAACUGCACCCAAGGCAAAAUCUGAUGCAUCUGUUUCCAUAAAAAAUGCCUUGGAAAAGUCAACACGAUAUAAGACUGGUGCAAAGACAAACGAUGUCUUCAAGGCUUCAAAUGCUGCUUCCGCUUCUUGAUUCCAUUGGAAUUUAUCUUUACUAGUCAAGCGUGUAAGUGGAGCUGCAACUCGUGAGAAAUCUUUGAUGAAGAUCCGAUAAUAAUUGACAAAUCCCAAGAAACAUUGGACAUCUCUUACUGUCCUUGGAAUCUUCCAAUCCAUGAUUGUUUGGACUUUCUUAGAAUCCAUCAUGAGACCAUCAUUUGAAAUGAUGUAUCCUAAAAAGUCAACUUGAGUAGUGUGAAAUACACACUUUUCCAUCUUGGCGUACAAUCCUGCAUCUCUAAGUUUUUGUAAUACUUGACGAACAUGUAUUUCAUGUUCUUCGACGUUGUUAAAAUAGAUCAGGAUAUCGUCUAGAUAGCAGACGACAAAAUUGUCUAAAAAUUCACAAAAUACAUCAUUCAUGAAAUGUUGAAAAGCUGCUGGUGUAUUCGUGAGUCCAAAGGGCAUGACAUUAUAUUCGAAAUGUCCAUACCUGGUUCGAAACGCAGUCUUCCAUUCAUCUCCUUCUUUGAUCCGUACUAGAUUAUAUGCUCCUCUUAGAUCUAUUUUUGUAUAGAUCUUAGCUUGAUUCAAUUGGUCAAGGAGUCCUGAUAUCAAAGGUAAUGGAUACAUGUUCUUGAUUGUGAUCUUAUUGAGUCCUCGAUAAUCAACACACAUUCGUAAAGAUCCAUCUUAUUUCUUUACGAAUAGAAUUGGAGCUCCUGCUGGAGAUUUUGAAUGGCAUAUGAAAUUCUUCGCUAAAUUCUCGUCAAUAUAUGUCUUGAGUUCAACCAUCUCAUCUUGCGAUAAACUGUAAAUUGGUCCAAAUGGUGGCUGAGUUCCUUCCUUGAGGUCGAUUGAACAAUCAUAUGGGCGAUGCUCAGGAAGAAUAUCUGCAUUCUUUUUCUCAAAAACGUCUUGAUACUCCUGAUAUUGACUUGGAAUGCUACUUGAAGUCUUUACGUUUUUAGAAAUAGGUGCAGCAUAAAUAGCAAAAGUUGAUCCUUCUUUUGCUGCGUGUAUAAAUGCUUUUGCACCUAUCAAUACGGGUUUUACUAUACUAGACUUAUAAUUUUUUACUUGGUUGGUAGAACUAUUAAUAACACUUUGGGAAAAGUCAAGUUUACGCAAAUUCCAAUCUAUUCAAGGGUUAUAUUUUUCUAACCAGGAUAAACCUAAAAUAACUGGAUUGGACAGGGAUUUAAUUAUGUUAAAAGCUAUGUAGCUAUCAUGACCGUCUAUUGUUACUUUUAUAGGAUGAGUUUCAUGAGUGACAUCUCCAGAAGACAAGGGAUGACCAUCUAUGACUUCUACAUGUACUGGUUUAGGUUUCUGUACAAAAGGUAUUUUACAACUUUUAACAAAUUGUUCAUCUAAAAAACAUGCUAAGGCUCCCGAAUCUAAUAAAGCAGAGGCUUUGUAAUUCUUAGGUCCUAAAUAUAAGUCUAUUAUAAAACAAGGAGAGGGUUCUGAGGAGAGGAUAGGACCUUCAUUAGGAAUUGUACAAGGUUCCAGCUGCACGGUCCCUAUUGUAGCUGGACGAAUCCGUUUUCCGACAUGUUGUCUUCUUUGACCGUCGUACCCCUCAUUUAUAGUUGCGUCUUUUCUUUGGACAAUGUUGAGCAGUGUGCUUAGGUUCUAUGCAAUAUAAACAUAAUCCUUCUUAACGACGAGAAAUCUUUUCUUGCUCAGUUAGGGGUUUAAAACGUACCGCGUCAAUUUGCAUGUCUUCUACUUCUGAAUGUACGUUUGGCAAAGAUGUUGAUGUUGCCAUUGAGUAAUAACGUUGAGGUUUCCGUGAAUGAUUCUCGGAUCGAAAUUCAAAAAGUCGAUUAUCACAUUUUACCGCAAAAUCGAUUGCUUGACUCAAAGUUUGAGGAUCAGGUAAGUUGAGCAUCAAUUUCUUUACUUCGUAUUGCAAUCCAUAAAGAAAUUGACUGAUGAAUGCAGCAUCAUCCCACUUGAUGUCAAUUCCAAGUUGUCGAAAUUGUGAAGCAUACACUGUUACUGAGCGAUUUCCUUAUCGAAGAAUUCGGAUCUUAUUUGUUGCAACACGAGUUGCAUCGUGUUCACCAUACAUAGAUCGAAACUCCGCCAAAAAAGCUUCCAAAUUGUCCAAUAUUAGAUUUCGUUGUUCAAGAAAAGACGAAAACCACGAUAAUAUAGAACCAGAAAGUAGAGUGCCAAUAAACCUGACUUGUGAUCCUGGAGUUGGAUAGCUUUGCGGUUGAAGUUCAAUUGCCAAUUGUACUUGAUUGAUGAACCCUCGAAACUUUGAUCUCGUACCAUCAAAUUUCUCAAGUAAGGCAAUUCUUGGUUCUCUAGUGCUUAUAGGAUGUUGUACAAUUGGAGAAAGAACGUGAUUUGUUGUAGAUGUUGAAGCAGCUCCGAUCAUCUCUAUAUUCCCACUUACUGCUAUUCUUGUUCUUUCCUGUGUUGGUGGAUUGAGUUGAUGCAUCGCAAGCAUUAACUCCCUCAUUUGCUCUUGCAUUUGUGCCAUUGCACUCUUCAUUUCAACAAGCUCUGCCAUAAUGACACUAAGAAGAAAAAUUUGUUUGAUAUUGCUCAAGACAAAAGAAAAGAAAGACUUGAUAACAAAGAAGAUACUAAGAACAAUAUCAGUUUAGAAGUGGGUAAUCCGCAAACUUCUAAUAUGCUUAUGUCUUGUCAAGAGAAAGGGGUAAUCCACUCUUACUCAAGAAAAACAAAGCUGUGAUAUUGUAAGUGUACUCUUGUCAAUCUGUCAAGGACAAGAACUCGAUGAAAAAAUAGUUCAGACAAGUAAGCCUUCACUCAAAGAAAAGUAACAAAAUAUAAAUAAUAAGUAUGUAUAUUGAAAAGAGAAACUAGAAUGGCUAUUGCCAAAAGACAAGAAAACUAGAGACCCUUGAAACUAGACUAGAAGCAAGAAAGGAGUUGACAAGAGUGAAGAAGCCUUCACUCUUGUCUCUAUAUAUACUAUCUAACUAAGGGCUACGUGGCGACGUUCUAUAGGACCUCCAAUAUGUGUUGACUUUGUAGGACACAUGCCUUGACUUACAAGGCAAGUUUUUCUACGUGUGGGCCACAUAGUUAGCUUAAUCUUCAAGCUAACAACAUGUGUGGCACAUGGCCAACUUGUUGACCAUGUUUCUAAUCCAAAAAGUCAAUUAAAGACACCUAUGAAGUCAAAGCAGCGUCUAGGAAGUUUCUAGGAAGCUUUUAUAUUAAAUAUUAUAGAAUUAACUUACUUUUAUCUACUUUUAUUUACUUCUACCUAUUCCUAUAUGUAAUUAUUAGCUUACAUGAUUAUGGCCGUGACAUUUUAUAUAUUUGUGGCACUAAAGAGAUGGCAAAUCAUUAAUCAAUAGAUUGAACUGAAGAGCUAUCAUUUGAUAACUUAUCAAACAAAAUAUUAUAAUUUUUACAGCCUUCAAGAUGAUAUAAUAGAAAUAAAGAUCUUCAAGAAUGACAUAUUCUUUCUUAAAUAGUUGGAGAGAUACAAUGUGUUUGUUCUCACAAUAUUGGAAGAGACUCUCAAUGCUUGAUGAUUUUAUUAGAUGUAAAGACAAUUCUUUACAAUUUUCCAAAUAUUUUAUUUAGAAGGAAUUUUAAAGGCUUCAAAAAUGAUCAAAUAACAUGGUGAUUUUUUCAUCCUAAUAUGAAAUAUUAUUGAUGGUUAAAAAGACCUAUAAAUGACCUUUUAAAGAAACAAAGAUCAAAAUAUGUAACAAACAUAAUUUGCUACAUCUUGGACUUUUUCAACAUAUGAUGACCACUCCUCAUCGAACUUGUUCCUAAAAGAGGGAGUAAUGUCAUGGAUAUUCAUAUUAUCUGAAUAAGAAGUGUUAAGUAGAAGAUUAAUAUAUAUAGAUUUGAUAUUAUCUUAUAGCAAAGAUUCUUAGAAGUUGCAUAGACACAUAUCUGACUUUAUACAUAUUUAUAAUUGAUUGAUAAGUUAGAAACUUGGCUAACAAGUUAGCCAUGUGUUGCAUAUAUAAGUAGCUUGUGAUACAAGCCAAUGAUUUAGCAUACACAUAAGAAAAUUACCUUGCAAGUUGAAACACAUGUUUUGCAAAUUGAACAAGUAUUUGACGUCCUAUAGAACAUCAUUACAUAGCUCUUAGUUAGAUAGUAUAUAUGGAGGCAAAAAUGAAGAUUUUUUCACUCUUGUCAAUGUUAUUCUAGGCUUUAGUCUUAUUUUAAAACUUUUUAGUCUUUUUAUCUUUGGCAAUAGCCAUUCUAGUUUAAUAUUAUGUUAUCUUUGAAUAAUUUAUUAGUCUUUUUAAAAACACAAGAAUUUAUUGAUCUUUUAGUUUUUUGAAAUUCAUGUCUUUGAAAAUUAAUGAUUUUGACUAUUUUUUUUUUUACAAUUUUAAUCUUUAAAAAAAUAACAAGCAUGAAAACUUUGAAAAAAAUCAAACUUAUCAAUUAAAAAAGAGAGCUUCUAAUAUUCUUAGGUAUUGAUUGUCUUCUUUCUUAAACCUACAUGUUAAUCUUUUAGUAGCAAUUUCUCUUUAUUAAACCAUUUGAUUGCUAUUUAAAUUGAAAAAAAGUGUAAAUACCUAAGUAUUAUAUUAUCACAAUUUUUUUUUUCUUUUUCUUUUUUUUCUUUUUUUUUUUUUUUUCAAUCAAACUAGCAAAUUUUUUUAGGUAGAAUAUUUCACUAAUCCUAAAAUUCAAAAGUCUAAGAUCCUAAUUUAAUUUUUUUCCUAUAUCCUUCAAUCUAACCAUUUGAUUGAACUCAAAUUUGCAAUAUACAUUCAAAACAAGUACACUCACAUAUCUACAAAAUUGCACUUUUUUAUUUGCUAUAAUACUCACAAAUUCUUCAAAUAUACAUUUUUUUUUUUUUUUUUUUAUUUUUUAUUUCUCAAAAUCUAAAAUCUCUAAAUACAUCUCUCACUUUGAAAACCUCUCAAAAACUCAAUAUGCAUCCAAAUUUGUUUGAACUUACAUUCAAAUAAUCUUUUUUAAGUUUGAUCUUUAACCUCACUCCCAAAUCUAUAAAAGAAAAUCCUAGAAUUAUCAUACGUGUGCAAUUUAGUGCCUUGGGAUUUGAUUAUGACCUUUGUUCACAACUUGUCUCUUGUGGGUAUUAUUUCUUGGUUUUUUAAGGUAAAUCUAUUACAAAUUACUCUUAUCUUGCUUCUAAAAAUGCAUAUAUUAUUAAUUUUUCAAAUCUACUUUGUUUUGCCUUAUUUAUGAUCAUGCAAAGUAAAAAAAAGUCUUUUUUAGAAAAAGACAAGAUAACACUAAAGUUUUUACUACCUCCCAAUAUUUUAUCUAUUUUUUGCUACUAUAUUUUUGAAUUAGGCUCUUUUAUUAUAGAAUCCAUAUUUCUAUCUUUCACCAUAUGGUCAUUUAUAAUAUGACACCAUUUUUUAAAAAACAUUUAUUCCAAAAUUGGAAUAUAGAUAGAGAUAAUUUUACAUGUUUUAGAAGAAAAAGAAAAUAUUAAAAUAUUAAAAAUUAAAUUAAUAUGGAUUUUAGAAGAUCAUAUAUUAUCCACAAUUGUGACCAUCAUGCAAUUUGCAUAGGCUUGUGUUCAAAUUGCUCCAAUCACAAUCAAAAUCUAAAAAAUGCCAUAAUAAAUUCCAAAAAACAUAUUUUUCUAAAACAAAUUAGUAAGGUUCAAACUUCAUAGGAUUUUCUACUUUCAAAAGAAAAAAAAAUGAUAAAAAUAUCAAAGUUUUAUAUUUUAUGUAAAAUGCCAAAAACAACUAAAAGACAUUUUGGUUUGUAAGGAGCUUUAGGAAUUAAUUAUAAUACAACUUUAUUGGAUUCAUAAUCAAUGAGAUUUGAAUCCUAAUACACUUACACAAGAUUCAAACUUACUUCCAAUGUAUUAAGAGGCUAUAAGUUGUAUUGAUAAUAAUAUUAAAUAUGUAUUUAAUUAGAAUUUUAAAUAAAAUACUAAGUCAAGAUCUUAAUAAAAAUCAAUAGAAAAUAUAUUUUAAAAAGCUAUAAAAAGAAUUGAUGAAAUACUAGCUACUAAAUAAAACAUCAUAUCAAGAUAAAUUGAGAGAUAAUUUUGUUUAAUGUUGCAUAAGUAAAAUAAUAUUAGUAUAAUGUUACUAAUCAGAACAUGUAAAUAGAGAAAUAACAUUUGAUUAUAAAUAAAACAUUGUAAAGAUAAUUAAGUAUAAAAUAUAAUUACAUACAACAAAAAAUAUUUUAAAUGCCAACCACAUAUUUUAGAAAAUAAAAAUAUGUAAAAAAAUUUAGAAAAAGGAGCUGACAUCAAAAAAAAAAAAUACAAAAAAGUAAAUAUGUUACUUCCGAAGCAAAGAAGUAGGCACAAUGCUAGUAUAUUAUUGAUUUCAUACGAUUACUAGAGUCGGUGGGUUCCAAUCGCCACAGUGGAACGUGUUUUCGAAGUUCCGCAAUCAAGCUUCGGAUCGCUGUGAUCCGCUCACUGACCUGAGAAACCCCCAAUUCCUUCGCACUGACGAGCAAUUCAUCGACUCAUGCAUCGCGAUUUUCUUCGCUGUUUUCACGUCCACAAUGAUUUUCGCAUCCUGAAUCGAGACUCUGAUGCCCUUCGUCCUUCAAACGGAGAAAAAAAAGAAAAAAACUUAACCGUCAAGGAAGUCGUGGAGAAUUUGUGCCUCGGAGCUGUGGGAGGCGGCGGAGAGCACAACAGAGCACAGAUGAAUGAAUCGCUGACCAAGACGCGAAGGAUUUGUGCGUCAUGGAGGGGGGCAACCAGCGUGCUCUGGAUCCUGAAGCGAAUGUUAAACUGUGGAAUUGGCUUCGGAAAUUCGGAGCUGGAUUGCGGAGCCAUGUACCAUGUUUCUCAUGAUUUCGAGUUACUUGCAGCUUUGCUCGUUAUAGCAAUGUGGCUAUGAAGUGGGGAGAGAUUUUAUCUGUCGCGGAAAGCGAAAAAACUAGUCCUGAUCAUUCAUGAACUGUAAGCUUUCCUCGAGCGACUACCCGAUUGCAGUGUGGCAAUUCACCUCCAACACUCCGCAUCGUCGACCCGAGUAGGUGAAUGGAAUCGGAUGCCCUUCGGAAUCGGUCCAUGUGAUAGCGAAAGUUCGGGAAUCAAACUCGGUAGAUGGAUUGGACUAGUGCACCUCAGAUCACCGUGCCGAUCAUCGUAAUCUGAAACUAAUUUGUGGCUAAUUGAUGAGACAUUCCGUUGUGGAAAAGAAACGCUGCAGCUCCCGAGAUUGUAGCCCGCUUUGUGAUGGCGACGAAUCGGGCACCGGCAUUGGUGCCCGAAAACGCUGCCAGUUAACCACCAAUUCCAGCCACAAUUCUUUAUUCACUUUUGCACGAUCCUCGGCGUCGUUUCCCAUCCGCUCUCCAGUGCUACUCCUGAAACUUUCCAGGUCAUUAAUGCGGUCCUUAUCGAACUUUUCCCAUUCAUUGAUGCUAAGUUAAUGCAUCCACUUUGAAACCGUAUGACUAGCGCAUUGCAGAGGGAAAGACACAUCACCUGAUUGGUUACAUGAGCAGGCUAGGUAACGGAUCGGAUUUCUUUGAUUCCACCUUAGAAUUCUGAGCAAUGGGCCUGUGUAGACAGCACUCUGACAAAGCGCAGCUGCUCAGCUUUUCUACUUUUCUGCGAUCCCCCAAACCACUUGGAAGAACGCUCGUUUCGUGGCAUUCAACUUCUCACUUGGACGAUCGUCUCUGCGCAGCAUCGCGCCACAAACUAACAUCCCUCUUCGCGUUGAUUUCGUAAAAACCGUCGACCCACAACAACAGUGCAUAUUCUUCUCAGACCCGGAUUAAACCUUACUUGCGAGGGGACGAAAGCAUCAUCACCCCAGUCAUGGAUCCGUCUUUGCAACAGCAGUUGGGCCGAAUUCAAACAUGGACAAAAGCACCAGUUGUCGAAUGUUGGAAAGGGAAAGCGAUCCGCCGAAAAGAGGAUUGAAAGAGAGAAGGAAAAAAAGCAAACUAACCCAUGAAAAGCUCCAGUCUCCGACUCGUCACCAGCAGUUUCACGCAGCAAAAGAGCCUAAUUUGACCCCGUCACUGACAUCAAAGCGGCAAUCCACAAGCACUGGCACGAUCGCGGGGUCCUGUUGCGCUUUUCGCCAGCGACAGUUAACGGGCUACACCCCCUAUUCUAUCCAUUGAAACCCCUUCUGCAGCGUCGAUAGAAUCCCUUUUCUCUGAUUUGGAGGAGAAACUCUGCACUUCUCAAAUUUUCCUCCAAAUGACUCCAAGUCUCUCCGGACCACUAGUCCAUCUAAUACUUUCCACGGCCAUGGGUGCUGCCCUCCCGACCGACGAACGUCCUCGCUUGUUUGAUGGAUGAUAUCUGUUCGUUUCCUCCGAUGGAUGAAGUAGUAUGCUCGGUGCAAAAAAAAAAUAGUUUUAUCACUGUAUGCAUGAUCAUAUGACAUUAAAGGAAAGAUUUUGAGCAUAAAUAUUGAAUUUUUUUGAAAUCUUCCCUUAUGAAAUAACUACCUACAUCUAUAACUAGCAAACGUGAAAGUACACAAUCAUUAGUAGACGCGAGUUGUAAAAGGAUAUCCAGAACUUGGUGACAAAGGAAAAAAAGAAAAAAGAAAUAAAAAAAUGGUCUAAAUAGACCCUUUGUGUUUGCUUCCCGAUUGAAAUGCAAAAAUAAAAAUCCAUGUUAAACACAUUGUCCGAAUUUUCCGCCAAUUAAAACAACAGUUCACCCUUUAUUCAUGGAAUCAUAACUGCCUCAAACCCCAAAGUUAACGCAAAUCCACAUUCAUUCAUUCGUAAUUCAUCCCGUUUAACUAGAUGAAUGAACUAACAAGGAACUGCCAAAAUAGCCAGAGCGCUUCAUGGUAGGCCCCACGUCAUCCAUCCCCCCUGGAGGAAGAAAGUGUGGCCAAAUUUAGUGGGAAUACAAGCCUAAUUUAGAAAAUCCUCUCCAUAUUUAGAGGUACCUUUAUCUUGUCAGGAUAACGCCCGCCAAAACUGGUGGGACUGGACGGGGGAGAGUUGGCUCACAUUAGCCAAUGGAGGCGCGCGAAGGAAGUUUCUAUUUAUUGAGAUUCGAGGCCCUACUACCGCUGUGUGUGGACCCCGUGGCCGUGUCUGCGGAGCCCCAGUACAAAGCUCCCGUCACUUCGUCCGCUACGACCUUCGCCCUCUCCCACUCUCUCGCAUCCCCCCCAUCGCUACCUGCAGCGCCCGCAUCUCUGGUCUCCAUCUUCGCUGCCCGAUACGCCGAUUUCGUAUCGUCGAUUGAUCGUGAUAGCCAGAUUUAGAGCUUCCAAGGUUGAGUUUAGGACAGAAUUUUGGUCUAGGCUUGAGUUGGCGUUGUUGUUGCAGAUGUUCAGUAAGUUGCACAAGCUGUUGUAUUGUCGCGCGCCGCUUUUCCAUUCCCCGUUUUUCGAAACUGCUCUUCAUUUACCUUAGCAGCUGCUCGUAAAGGUCUAGGGCGAUAGCAUUCUCGUAAUUCACUUCAAACUUUGGUGCUUUUCGUGGCCUGAUUUCUGGAGCUUCAAUUUACUCUCUCUUUUACUUUUGUGGUUCUGGUGUCGUGUUCCCCCGGCAUUGAAGGAUUUUGGUGAAGGUAGUGACUUGCGACAUCUGACGGGUAAGGUGUGAGGUCCAUCCUUGUAGCGCUUGAGCAGGAAGCUGCAGUCAAUUGUUAAGUCGUUGUUAAGAACCACGAGCAGCUUGCAGCUUUAGGAUGAUUACCAGCAAGGCUAUCCCGAUUUGCCGAAGCCCAUUCCAGGGCGAGACUUUGAUGUCAUCUUCACCAAUGAGCGUGGGUGCUCUGAGCACGAGCCCGAGUCCGAGCUCGAGACGAAAAGCAGGCUAUGGUCUCGUGACGAUGGCAUACUCCGGCGCUUCAGUCAGGGAUCCCCAUGCCACUCUGGGCAUCGAGCCUGGCGCGAGUAAGCAUGAGAUCAAGAAAGCGUACAGACGCCUCGCGCUUCAGUACCACCCCGAUGUCUGUGACGGCAACCACUGCACCACGAAUUUCCAACAAAUCAACUUCGCGUAUGAGACCCUGCUCAGUAUGACGAAUCCCCAGUUCGGUGAGUUCGACGACGACUUGUCGGACAAUCUGGAAGGGUUUGCCGGCGUCAGCGGGGAUUCGUGGGCAGACUGGGAGGAAUGGAUGGGUUGGGAAGGCGCGGGUAUCCGGGACUAUUCGGAUCACAUCAACUACGCCACCUAGGCGCAUGAAAUCCUGCAGCACUCCGCAAUUCGCAUGUAAUUUUACUCUGGAUUAUUGAUGGAACCGACACUUGCAGUCACCAACGAUUGACAGGCUAACGGUCCGUGUGUACAUAUUGGCGUUCCUUGGGGGCGUGAAGGGGAAGUGCUGCAUUUAAAACAUCACAUUUUCUGACUGGAGAUUUAAGCUUAGACACAAAAAGAAAGGAAAAAAGAAAAUAAAAAAAAAUAAAAAAAGAACCAGCCGACAAGGGGAAAUUUUCUCAACUGAUUGAAAUUGUCCAUCACCCCACUGUGUUGCUAUAGACAUCGUGGGAGGUUUUAGUUAUUUAAAUUCUUUUGGCUCGCGCCAUGUAUUGACGCUGCCGGUUGGCGGUGUAAUUUUGCAAUGGAUAAACAUUGAGGGAGGGCCAAUUUCACACUUCGGAACAGUGUCUUGUGUGUAUGUGUGUGUGUAUAUAUAUAUAUAUAUAUAUAUAUAUUAUAGAUUUGGCUUUUGUUCGUGAUGCUUGUGAUGCAGGUCAUCUAUGAUCUGCUACUUUUGUAUUGCUCCCAAGAAAGUCUUCCAGUGGGCUCGCUCCGCCUGUUUGUCGACUUCAUGGAUAUGCUUCAGUCAGUAACGAUUACGCCCCAAGUGCGGCCUCAUCCACGUCUUCCGGGACACAUGCAAUGCGGGCGGGAUUUGUGUCUGCAUUUGUGUCUGGAUCCAUGUCAUCAUAUCUUCGAGCGCACCCUGCCUGCCCACAUCUUUGGAUAGACACGAUUGACAAGCACGAGUUAUUAGCUCAAGUUGUUAAGUCAUACAUGUGGUGCGAUUUAGUGACACGCAGCCAUGGGCUGCUUAUUUAAGUGGUAAAGCGCCUCCAAACGACAUGCACUCAGAAGCACAUGAACUUGCCAGUUCCUUAUUUAGCAAACUUCUCGCUUCAACAACUUCAAGCAAAUCUCCGGGAUAAAACUAACUUUUUUAGUUACCACCCAUUUUCGCUCUCAAAUGCUUGACAAGGAUGGACUGCAUGCGCAAGCAAGCUGUCCAAAAGAAUCACAUGAUUUUUUCAACUUAAUUACUUGAUUGUUGAAACAGAAUUGGUUUGCUAUUUGCUGUUAGUGUAGGGAAGCUCAUGAAUCACUGGUGCAUAGUAAAACUGUAUUAGCCAUUAGAGAGAUGGAAUUCCACAUAACUUUGACACUUUAUUUUUGUUUUUUAGUUUGCAGAAAAUAGUAGCUCAAGUCGUUUUACUCUAUUGAGUUCCAUUGAGUUCUCGAUUUCUUUGUUGGACUUCUCAGUGUGUUUUCUUUGAGUUCCAAGCUGAUUUAGUAAUUUAGUAAUGAUAUUGUAUUGUAAUUAAAUUGAGUAUGCAGAAUUGAAAAACAACGGUCUUUGUUUAAAAACUAUGGUACUUUGACAAAUUAAAAGUUUUUUGAAACUUUUUUAUGAAUUGCGAAUGCUUAGAAUUAAGUUCUAUAUAUAUAUAUAUAUAUAUAAUAGAUUUUUAUAAUAUAGAUUAUAUACUAGUUUCAUAAUUUUUAAAUAAUUGGGUACAACUACAUACAAUAGAAGAUUAUUUAUUAAAGGUUGCAUAUGCAAAAACAACAACAACAACAAAAAAAAAACAUUGAUUGACAUAUAUAUACUUAAACAAAUAAGUUUUUGCUAGAAAAAUAUAUUCCAAUUCCUAAAUAAAUCACAUCUAAAUUAAUACACUAUAUUUAAAUAAAUCAAUCAAGUGGUAAAUUAAACUUGUUUAUUUUUUUUAGAAAAUAUAAAAGAUGUGUUUGUAAUCAAAGAAUUGCAACAUAGCUCAUGCAUGCAUAUUAACUACAAAAAAUAAUUAGAUGAUGUUUUUAUAUAACUAAAGUAAACAACUUUGUAGAUCAAUAAUAGAAAAAGUUAUUAGAUAGAAAUAUUUUUAGUUGUGAAAAUUAAUUGCUUUUUGUUUUGUUUUGUUAUUAUUUCAAUAAAAAUUACUUAAUUUAUCUAUUUAAAAAAUAGACUAAAAAUGAGGAAUUUAUUUUUAUUUAAUGUUGAUUUUAAAUUAAAAACAUGAUGCUUGAAAGAAAAGAAAAUCCUAAAUAAUUUAAUAACUUAAGUUUAUUCAAAACUACAAUGCAAAAUUUACUCUCUUCUAUUUUCAGAGGUAAAUCCAACAAACCAUGUUGGUGCCAAGCAAGAUUGUGUAAAACAUAAGACAUUAUAGACCAACAUUCAACAAUUGCCUUGAAUUCCAACAAUGAAUUCACCCAAGUGAGUUGCAAAAUGCUUUUCACAUUCCUUUACUUUGGACAAGAUUGUGAAAAUGUGCAGAUAGAAUGAACUAGCUUGCAACCUAGAAACUUUUUACCUUUCUACCUUUCUAUCUACCGAGCGUUGCUAAUAAUCUCAAGAAAACUUCGGCCAUACUCAUGUCGCAGAAAACUUAGAAAAAAGUUGUAUCGAUAGUUUUUAUUUUAUUUUAUCUUUCUUUCUUUCAAGGUGGGUUUGUGUGAGAGGGCCUUGACAUGCCGUAGAAUUUGUGGUAGGGAGGGUCACGGUUCAAUGGGAUGGGGUUGUGAUUGUCGAUCUUCUUCUUCACGUUCUGGAAUCUGGACAAGAUGAACCUCUGCUUCGGAGGUGGCGGAUGCAGUUUGUUUUUCACGAACUGCUGUUGAAGCUUGGUGGCUUUGUUGUCGUUGAUGAUCUCCAGAUGCGCCGUCGAUUCCAUGUACCUGUCUGGAUACUUCGACUUGAAGUACUCGUUCAUUUCGAUCCACUCAUCUUGGUAACCACCUCCUAUCAAAGUGUUGAAAUCCCCAUCACUGCACACACGAUUUCAUAGUUUCAUUGUUGCCUGGUUCAUAACCUACUCCUAAAAAAGCCAGUUUUCUGUUAAGACCUGGGGUCUAUUCUCUAUGGUUGUUUCGGGCUAUGAGCAGAUUCUUAGAGAUAAUCAGAGCUCGUCGAAGGUGUGGUAUCCUUUUGUUUCGUUAACAACUGUGGAACAAGAUUGCAUGAAAGCUCGAAUGAAAGCUUACCACGGCAUAGACAUUUUCUCUUCUUUGUGAUGAGUUAGAAGAAUGACGUACAAAGGGAAUGAUAACCCGUAUCUGUGAUUUGGGUUCGCGUCGGAGGGGAGUCUCCAAUUCGUGUUCUGCACAAACCACCACCCAUAUCACACACACUGCUGUCCAUGCCAACGUAAAUACAACAGUCGGCGAUCAAAGACUGAUUCUAUCAACGAGAGCAAUGCAGAAGGUGUGAUGCAAGGAUUCUGUUACAAGGGUGUGUUUGGGUUUGAUUUUGAUGGCAAACCGCUCUCGAGCAGCCCUUUGCUCGUUCGAUCUACAGUAGUUGCUGCAGAUUUACAGCAAAGAGAGGCAUCAGUGAGAUCAAACAACUGAGGGUGUUUGAAUCUCUUUCGUUGGAUCACGUCAUUCGGAGUAAUGACCACACAAUUCCUGCGAUUCGACUUGGCAGAAAGCAACUCACUUGAUAGCAGCUAAUUUGUUCAUUUCCUUGAAGUCAGGGCCGUAGAGAUGAUCGUAAGAAGCUGGAGCUGUCUCUAUGUGCACAAUCACUGUCCAUCCCAGGUCCAAGACGAUUCUCUUUUCAUAUCAGUUUUAGUAUAUGGAACGAAAGCAUCCAAGUUUCCGUGGAGUGCAGAAUUUUCCUCAUCAGUGAAGAAAGUAUACACCAUGAUUCAGCGCAUGCGGUGACACCGGACCUCGCAGUCAUUAGCUCAGUAUAGGCGACAACUCCACUCUCAAAUCACUGAAGGUCAUACGUCCAUACCUUCUUUGACGCCGAUAGCAUCUCGUUCAUUGGGUUUCCCAUAAAUGAACCUGGGGUCUCGGAUUUUUUGCGUGACUCUUCUUCCCUGAACGGAACUUCCCACCAAGACAGGCGUCAGCUAUCAGGAUAAACCAAAUGCUUACCCAAUGCAACAGCAGAUUUGGGGCCAAUUCCACCGAUGCAAGUUUCUCGACCGACCACGAUGAAUAACGCCGGAGAGGGUCAUUCAUUGCAACGGAGAUUACAUGGCCUAUGUCGGCUUUGACGAGGUUCCAGUUCCACUUGGAGGAUUUGCGCGUAACCCCACAUCGGCGAUUGUCCGACUCGGCAUAACAAUGCAUGAACCCCAUCCUUGCGAAACUCGAAUCAACACUCGCUCUUCACCGACUUUUGCACUUCAUCGCCCUUUGUAAAGCACUCGCACCUCGAUGCAACUUCAAACACCAAUUCAUGUGACGCUUUCUUCUUUGAACAUCACAUGAAGAUAGUUUUCUUUGUCUUUUCCCUUCUGAUUGCUUGCGAUGUCUGAAGAACGAACCCAACUCUCUGUUUACAAGGACAGCUCCUGGAGUGAACCCAAGAACGCUUACUCUGAAGCUUGGAGGCUUAAGAGAUUUUCUCGGUCGCGUUUAAGCACCCAACCUCGACUUUUAAACGAGAUGCAUCAUACUCAUACCCUACGCAGUAAAUUCAUAACUUAUGGAAGAAAGGAGUGAAAUUCGUGUGCAUCCUACGAUUGACGAUCUUGGUGAUCAGUUGAUCCGUUGACAGUUUUUGCAGUUGCCACCGAAGGCGUGUCCACCAUAACAGUUCCCGUUUCGCAUGAAAUGCUGGCGGCGAAAGGAUCUACCAAUGCACAGGAAUGGAGACUGGGUUUUGUUUUUGUUUUGUUUUUGUUUUUUUUUAGUCUGUUUUUUUGGUGUUUAGUGUAUGAUCAUUGGUAAGUACUUUAUUUUUAUUCUGUGGAGAUUAUGUGUGUAUGUAAAUAAGAAAAGAAAAGAAAAGAAAAAACUAUUGUGAGUUGGAUCUUUUAGGUUUUUUCAUUAUUGAGUAUUACUUGUGGGUUCAAAUCAUAAAAGUGGUCAUUUUAGCAUUGUUUUAUAUUGGUAAGCGAUUGUAAAUAAAGUAUUGAUUUUUUAUAUCAAGCUUUUAUAUUUGGAUGUGAAUUAAAAAUUCGACUUUGUAAAUUAAUUGUGUUACAAUCUAAUUGAAAUGUCUUUAAAUUUGGGUGAAAUUCAGGUGCAUAAUUACUAAAUGAUUAAUGUAUUUUUUUUUUAAAAGUCUUUCAAAAACGUAAAAACAUAUUUAAACUAAUAUAUUUAAACUUUCACAAUUAAUAUAAUUUUAUUUAUUUUUCUGUUGGCUUUUGUUUAGCUUUUAAAAUUAGUUAAAAACCUAUACUAAAAUUUAGGUUGAACAUUAAUGUAUUAGUUUUGUUUUUUGAAAUUGGUAUCAAUAUUCAUACACUACAUUUCACACAUAUUUAUGGGUUUAAGAUAUUAUUUUAAUAUGUGACUUAAUUGUGUCUAGAAUUAAAUACUUGAUUUCAAUUAUUGUAAUAUUUUUUAUAACUUUUAUGUAUUUCUUUUUUAUUUAAUGACAGUUAUAUGAUUGUUAUGAAUAAUUCUUGUAUUCUAGUCUUAAUUUAAGACUAUGUAAUGUCAUUGUAUUUGAAAGUAAAAUUGUGUUUAAAUAUUUUUUUUUUUACUUUUUAUUUUUAAAUAGAUUUAAUUAUAUAUUUAAAUUAAUUUUUAAUAAAAAAGUGAUUCUUUGUACAAAAAAAUUUAAAUAGAUAUUUGAAGGUUGAAAAAUAAAAUAAAUAUACUAUAGUUACAUAAAUAAAUAUAUAUAAAUAUAUUUCACUUGUGUUAUGAGAUUAUGAUUUUUAAUUUUUUCUCAUAAAUAUAAAAUCAUUGCUAUACUAAUUUUUUUGAAAUAAAAAAUAUAUUAAAAUAUAAUUAAUAGAAGAUUAAUUUGAUAGCAGAUAAUCUACAACUGUUGUCUUAAAAAUUCUUCUUUAAAGAUGUUAAAAAAUUAUUUUUUGUAUUAAGUCACAUAAUUUCAAAUAUAUUCUUUUAUAUUUGAAUAGGAAUCACUAAAAAUUAUAAUGUAAUAAAUAUAAAAAUUUUAUAUAAAUUUGGACACAUUGUUCAAAUUACACUUGAAAAUGAAGAUAAUUUAUAUUAAUUUUUUUUGACUAAAUAUAAUAAAAAUAUAAUUAUUUGGAUAUUGAUGAUGCAUCAUCUUAAAAAGGUCCAAUAUUAUUCUUUGAAAUAAAUUCUUCUUUUUAAAUACAACUUUACAUAGGAUCUCAAAAUCAUAUAGUUUUAUUUUUAUUUUUGAAACAUAAAUAUUUAACAUUUAUGAAGAUUCCUAAUUUUAAUUUUUUAAAUUUAUUUUGUCUAAAAAAACCUAUCAAUAAAAAAAUUAUAUUUUUGGUAAAAGAAAUAAAUCAUAUAAGUUGUAGAUAGACAAAAUUUGUCUCAUAGAGGUAUCAUUAAUAAAUUUAUUCUAUUAGAAACUAUUACAUGUAAUUAUAACAAAUGAACAUCAUUUAGCAAAAUCAAAUCUCUAAAUUACUUAAUUAAUUUAGAUUAAUUUUGAUUAAAAAAAUCAAAACCUCAAAUAGAUAAAACUUCUUAAAUUCUUUAAUUUUUAUUAAAUAAAAAAUAUUAUAUCAAUUUUUUUUUUUAUUUGAAGUCUAUAUAAGACAAAGUUGUAUUUGUUGGAAUAAUAACAUUUGUGCAAGCUAUAAAAGAAAGAGGUUUAUGUAUUCUUGAAAUAAUGUAUAGAAUUUAUCUAAAUAAUAUUUUUAAUAUAAUAAAAAUCAACAUUAUAAAUUUGAUGAUAAAUAAAAAUCUUCUAUAAAAUUAAUUUAUUUAAAAUCAAACAACCAAUCUGUAAAAAAUAAAUCAAUUCAAUUUAAAUUAAUCUAUAAUGUAUAGAAGAUUUUAUAGAAGUUAGUUGACUAAAAUAUUAACCAUUAAAUUAUUUUCUCUACUAUACAUAAUAUAUAUGUCUUAUAGCUAAUAAAUCAAUCUUAAUUCUAUAAAAAAAUAAAUCUAUAAGACAUUAUGUAGUAUAGUAUGCAACUAAAAAGAACAUUAAUAAAAUUACACAUUAUAAAUUAUUUUAAAUAUUUAGUAAUUAAAAAAUAAAGAUCACAAUAUAUUUUAGAUAUCGAUAAUUUUAUUUAAAAAUAAAAAAUAUAGAUUUAUGUUAUUUAUUUAUUUAUUCAAAAAAAAAUAUAAUUUAUUCUAAAAUUAUUAAGGAGUAUGGAAAAGUAUUUUUAUGGUUCAUUGAAAGAACUACAACACAAUAAUUAAUAUUUUGUCAUAGAUAUAUAUCUAUUGUAAUUUUUACCUAGAUAAUAUGAAUAGGUAGAAAUAGAUAUAAGUAGAUUAAUUUCAUAAUAUCUUCUAAAUAAGCUUCCUAGAAGCUUUUUAGAUGCUAUUUUGACUUUAUAUGUGUUAGUAGUUGAUUGGUAGAUUAGAAACUUAAUAAAUAAGCUAGCCACAUACCACAUGUAUUGGUAGCUUACGGAAUAAGUUAAUUACAUGGCAUCCAUAUAGAAAACUUGCCUUGCAAGUUAAGAUACGUGUUAUACAAAGUCAAUAUAUUUUUGGAGGUCCUAUAGAACAUCACCAUAUUAAUCCUAGGUAGAUAGUAUAUAGAGAAGCAAGAGUGAAGUCUUCUUCACUCUUGUCAAUUCCUUUCUUGUUUCUAGUUUAGUUUUAAGAGUCUCUAGUUUUCAUGCCUUUUGGCAAUAGUCAUUCCAAUUUUCCUUUUAAUAUACAUAUAUUUCUAUUUUUAUUUUUUAAAAAAGUCUCACUUAUUUAUUUACUUUCAUCAAGUUCUUGUCCUUGAUAGAUUGACAAGAGUGUACUUACAAUAUUAGAGUUUUGUCUUUUCUUGAUUAAGAAUGGAUUACUCCUUUUUCUUGAUAAAACAUAAGCAUAUUAGAAGUUACAGAUUACCUUCUUCUAAAUUAAUAUUAUUCUUAAUAUUUUUUUUGUUCUCAAGUCCUCUCUUCUGCUUGUCUUGAGUGAUAUUAGACAUUUUUUUUUUUCUAAGUGAUUAUCAUGGCAAAGCUUUUUGAAAUGAAGAAUGCAAUGGUAGAAAUGCAAGAACAAUUGAGGGAGUUAAUACUUAUGAUGUAAUUUGUAUUACAAAUAAUAAGAUUUGUAUCUUGUAAUAAGACAAUUGAUCAGUGACAUUAUACACUUCAAAAUUUUGAUAACUAACGAUUAAUGUCAAGUGGGAUGAUGUUGCAUGUAUCAGCCAAUUUUUCUAUGGAUUACAAUAUGAGCUAAAGAAAUUAAUGUUCAACUUAUCUGAUCUUUAGACAUUGAGUCAAGCAAUUGAUUAUGCUAUGAAGUAUGACAAUUGACUUUUUAAAUUUUAAUUUGAAAAUCAUACAAAAGAACCUCUACAUUAUUAAAAUUCAAUGAUAAUACUAACAACCUCUCAAUUUUAAUAUUUGGAAGUAGAAGACAUGCAAAUUAAUAUCACACAUUUCAAACGUCUUAUUGAAUUAAAAAAAAACUUGUUGUCAUAAAGAAGGACUAUAUUUAUAUUAUAGAAAAGCUAAGCACACUACUUAACAUUGUCCAAAGAAACAAUGUAACUACAAAAUAAGGAGUACAACUAUUAAAGAUGAAAAAAAUAUCCAAAAAUAAAUCAGCUACAAUAGGAAUCAUGUAGAUGGAAUCUUGUACAAAUGAAGGUCCUAUCUUUUUCUUAGAAUCCUCUCCUUAUUUUAUAAUAGAUAGAUAUUUAGGACCUAAUAAUUAUAAAGCCUCUACCUUGAUAGAUUUAGGAGCCUCAACUUGUUUCUUAGAUAAAGAAUUUGUUAAAAGCCAUAGUAUAUUGGUAAUAUAAAAAACUAAAACCUAUACAUGUAGAAGUCAUAGAUGGCAGUCCAUUAUUUUUUGGAGAUAUUAUUCAUAAAAUACUUCCUAUAGAUGUAACAAUAAAUGGUCAUAAUAAUUUUGUAAUUUUUAAUGUAAUUAGAUCUCUCUAAUUUUGUUGUUUUAAGUUUAUCCUAGCUAAAAUAGUAUAAUCUUCUAAUAGAUUAGCUUUCUAGUAAGCUUGACUUUUUUCAAAGCAUUAUUAAGAGUUUUAUAGAAAGCUAUAAGUCUAAUGUAGCCAAAUCCAUACUCGUAAGCACAAAAACUUUCUUUCAUGCUACAAAAGAAGAAUUUUCUUUUAUUAUUUAUGCCACAUCCAUUUUUAAUGAUGAGAAGACCUCAUGUGGCAUUCCAAGUUAAUAUUAAGAUUUUAAAGAUAUUUUUGAGAAAAAAAAUACAGAUAUUUUCUUAGAGCAUCAUCCAUAUGAUUUAUCAAUCAACCUUAAAGAAAGAAAUUAACCACUAUUUGGUCCAAUCUACAAUUUAUCACAAAAUAAGUUGGCUGAACUCAAGAAGUACAUUGACAAGAAUUGAGCCAAAAAUUUCAUAUGCCAUUCAAAAUCUUGUAUAAGAACUAUCUUAUUUGUAAAGAAAAAAUAUGGAUCAAUGUAAAUGUGUAUAUAUUAUCAAAGACUCAAUAAUAUUACUAUUAAGAAUAGGUAAUCUUUAUCCUUGAUAUUUGGACUUUUUGAUCAACAAAAUCAAGCUAAGAUUUAUAUAAAAAUAGAUCUACGAGGAGCAUAUAAUUUGAUCCAAAUUAAAGAAGGAGAUAAAUAAAAAAUUACAUUUCAAAUAAGGUAUAGGCACUUUGAAUAUAAUAUCAUGCCUUUUGGAUUUAUGAAUGUACUAUCUGAUUUUCAACAUCUUAUGAAUGAUAUUUUUUGUGAAUUUCUAGAUGAUUUUAUUGUCUAUUACUUAAAUAAUAUUUUAAUCUAUUCUAAGAACAUACAAGAGCAUAAAGUUCAUAUUGGUUGUGUAUUACAAAACUUAAAGAUGUAGGAUUGUAUGCUAAGUUAGAAAAGUAUGUAUUCCACACUAUUCAAGUUGACUUCUUAGGAUAUAUCUUUUCCAAUAAAGGACUUAUGAUGGAUAUGAAGAAGUUUCAAAUUAUUAUAGAUUGGAAGAUUUUAAGAAUAAUAAGAGAUGUGCAAUGAUUUUUGGACUUUGUUAAUUACUACAAAAUCUUCAUCAAGAAUUUUUUUCAAGUUGCAGCUCUUCUUACACGUCUUGCAUGCCAAGACAAACUUGAUGGGACUAAAAAAGCUAAAGUAUCUUCUUAAGCUUUAAAUUUGAUAUUUAUUUUUACAUCAAUCUUGUAUCAUGUCAACUUUUUUAAGAUAUUUUUAUGGAAAUAGAUGCAUCAAAUUUUGCUAUAUGUGUUAUUUUGUUACUAAUAGGAAAAGAUGACAAGUUCUAUCCAAUAGCUUUUUAUUCUAGAAAAUUCUCAGUAGCCAAGAUUAACUAUGAGAUCUACAAAAAAAAAACUUCUUAUAAUUAUAGAUUCUAUUCAAGAAUGGCGUCAUUAUCUAAAAGGCACUUUCAGUCCAAUCACCGCAUAUACAAAUCACAAAAACUUCAAAUAUUUCAUAUCAAUACGUAUUUUGAAUCGUUGCUAGAUUUGUUAGAGCAUGUCUUUGUGAAGAUUCAAAUUUAAUAUCACUUAUUGGCUAGAAAAAUAAUAAGGUAUAUCUAAUGUCCUUUUAGAUGUUUUUAUCUUGCAUCAAAAGAAGGAGAUGCAACUUUUGAUUAACAAAGGACAUUUUUAAUGAAGCCAAAAUAAUUUCAUCUUUAAGCAAUGAAAUUAACAUUAAUUAUUGAUUCAACUUUUCUUAAGUAAAUUUAAUUAAAUAUAUCCUCUUAUUUUCUUAUUUAUGGUAUUAAGAAUACUUCUUUUAAGUCUUGUCAUACUUUCAAGUUUGACUUCAAGAACAAUCUACUUUAUUUUGAAAGAUGCCUACAUGUUCAAAAAAAAAAAUUACAUUUAUGUGUUUUUCAAGUACGUUAUCAUCUACGACUUGAUAUUUUUGACUUCUCAAAAGUUGAUAAUCUUAUGACAAAAGAUUUGGUAGAUUAUUUAUUUGAGCUAUAUACAACAAUGAGGGUGCAAUUAAAGGAAGCUCAAGAAUGACAAAAGAUCAAGACAGAUGCCUAUCAAAAGGAACAACCACAAUUCAAUGUAGAUGAAAAGGUAUAAUUACUUUAUCAUAAUAACAAGACUACUUGUCUUUAUGAUAAGUUGGACUACUAUAGGCUUAGAUCUUUUCCUAUUUUUGGACUAAUUUCUUAUUGAUUACAUCUAUCGGUAUCGUAUUACGUAUUGUCUUGUUUAGGAAUGCAUUGGGCACCUAAUUGUGGAAGGUGAGGUUGUGUUUCACAAGUAUCCAUGAAACCCUAAUAGAUUUUACUCAUAUGAGAAGAAUAUAAUCCAAAUUUCAAUUCAAAAGAACUAAAAAAUAUUCUUCUUAGUAGCUUCAAUCACACAUAAACCUCAAUUACCUUGUUACUUUCAUAUUUAAGCAAUUUAAAUCUUUCUUAUAAGCUCUAAUCCUAAUCAGUGAGCUUUAAUAAGCUGUAACUUCUAAUUUGGCUAUUCACUUGAUGUAAAAUUUUGCAUGAAAUUGUCAAUGUAAGUCUUCUAUAUGCUCAAGAAUUUUGAGCCCAAUCUAAUUUACAGGUUGUGAGAAAACCUCCAAAAAUUGUACUAAUGUCACUCAGAUACCAACUUGAAAAGUGAAACAAAAAUCCUAGCAAUGAUUUCUCCUUCUUCAAUCGUUAAUUUUGACUCAAAAUUAGUGUGCACCAUGAUCUUUAAGUCCUUCAAUAUCAUCCCAAAUUUCACCUUAAUCCGACUGAUAGAUCUCUAGAUAUCACAAAAAUCCUAUCCAACCUCAAACUGCCAACUUGUAAAAUCCUCUUAUGCUAAAAACCAGAUAUCUCUAAACCACACCAUUAAAUUAUCACAAAAUUUAGUAUACACUUAGCACACCCAAUAAUCCAAAUAAUAUCAAAUUUUGAAUUAUAGGUAUUAUAUUAAUUGUACGAACUAGUCAAAAUUGUUAAUCCUAAUUAUAUUAUAUAAAAUCCAAAUCACCAGUACAAACCCUGAUUUUGAACAACAAUUGUCCAGUUCCUAAAAAUCCUAAAAAAAUAGUCCUUAUGCCUCUAUAAAGAGCUUUAAGCUAGCUCUCAAACCCUAAUCUUUGAUCUUUGAAUGAAUCCCUAAUUUAUCCUUGGCUAUCAUUUUAGCAACCAGAGGUCUGAUUUCAACCUUGUCUCACAAACGGUCAACCCUCAAGUAUCAAUCUAAUAUAUCCUAAGGAUUUUUUAGUCCAAUCUUACCCUCAACUUCAUCCUAGUAUCAACCAUACCAAUCAUUUACCUCUUCUAUCCUGAUUUUAAUAAUUUAUGGCCUUUCUAAGGCAGUAAAAGAGUUUCUAUAUCCUAGAAGGUAAAAAUACUAACUAAAUUUUAUCUACUUGCUAUUAAGAUAAGAAAAUAGACUAAGAUGCUUUCAUAAAAGCCUUAUUAAAAUAUUUUAAAUUUUUAUUAAACUAAUAUAAUAGAAUGUUAAUUAAAAAAUAAUUUUUAGUCAUAUUUUUACUAUAUAAUCAUGUCACAAUACAACAUCGGAGUCAAUGAAGAUCCAUCUUCUAUUCCAUGUCUCUCUUUUUGAACCAUAUAAGAUUGUGAACAUACCAAGAAGAAGACAAGGCUUAGACCUUUAAAGUGGAAGAAGUUUUAGACUUAAGACGGUGCCAAAAUAAGUUGGAAUAUCUUAUCUAUUGGUAUAGAUAUGAUAUUAGUGAAAGCACUUAAAAGCUAGCAAAGAAUCUUAUAAAUGCAAGAAAGAUGGUAGAGGCUUUUUAUCAAUGUCAUCCAUCAAAACCAAGAUAAAGAAUAGUAAGUUUUUGUUAUAAAAGGAACAAUGAAGAUUGUGGUUAAAAUAUAAUUAUAGCAUUAAAGAGAUAAAAAAUCAAUAGCUGACAGAUUCAAUUCAAGAACCAUCAUUUGUUGACUUAUUAGAAGAUACAUUGCGAUUGUCAAUGCCUUGAAGAUGACAUAACAAGGAUAAAGACCUUUAAAAAGAAUAUAUUCUUCUACAAAUAGAUGGUAAGAUACAAUGUAUUUAGUAUCAAGAUCUAAAAAAAGACUCUCGAUGUUUGGUGAUUUUAUUGGAGGUAAGGACAAUUCUUGAUGGAAUUACAAAUAUUUUGUUUGAAGGAAGUUAUGAAGGUUUCAACAAUGAUGAAAUUACAAGGUGGUCUUCUUGCUCUUAAAUGAGACAUUAUCAAUGGCUAAGAGGACCUAUCAACUACCUUUGAAGGAAACAAAGAUCAGAGUAUAUGACAAAUACGUUUUAUUGCAUCUUAGACUUCCUCAACAUAUGAUCAUUGCUACUCAUGGAACUUGUAUCUAAAAGGAGGGAUAAUGUCAUCAAUAUAUAUCUAUUAUAAUUAUUACCUAGAUAAUAUGGAUAGGUAGAAGUAAGUAAAAAUAUAUUAAUUUCAUAAUAUCUUGUAAACAAGCUUCUUAAAAGCUUUUUAGAUAUUGUUUUGACUUUAUAUGUAUUUGUAGUUGAUUGGUAGAUUAGAAACUUUGUUAAUAAGCUAGCCAUGUGCCAUAUAUGUUGAUAGCUUUUGGAACAAGCUAACUAUAUAGCGUCCAUAUAGAAAACUUGCCUUGCAAGUUAAGAUACAUGUCAUGCAAAGUCAAUACAUUUUUAGAGGUCCUAUAGAAUGUCACCACAUAGAUCCUAGGUAGAUAGUAUAUAUAGAGGCAAGAAUGAAGCUUUCUUCACUCUUGUUAAUUCUUUUCUUGUUUCUAGUUUAGUUUCAAGAGUCUCUAAUUUUCUUCUCUUUUAACAAUAAUCAUUCCAAUUUCCUUUUUAAUAUACAUACAUCUCUAUUUCUAUUCCUUUGAGAGAGUGUCACUUGUUUAUUUGCUUUAAUUGAGUUCUUUCCUUAAUAUAUUCUAAAAUUAAUAUAAAUUAUGUAAUAUUUUAAAAAUUAUAGUUAAUUUUUUAGAAUAAAAAUAUUAAAAAAUAAAAAAUUAGAUUGAUAAAAUAGAAUUUAUUGUAUUUUUGGAUAAUAAAUUUUUAUAAAUAUAUAAUAUGAUUAAAAAUUAAAAAUUAAAAAAUUAAAAAUAAAAUAAGAUUCAUUAAUAAUAUUUAUUAUAGCUUCUAACUUAAACUAACUUGUCUUCUUGAAGAUCAUUUUGUAAAGAGAUAUAUAUAUAUAUAUAUAUAUUGGAUGUUGAAUUAAAAAAGAACUAUAUCUUUUCAAUAGUUUAAAUAAAAAAAUAUUAUGUAGUUUUUCAUAUAUGUUUUAAAAAAAUUAAUUCUUUUAAUAUUUAAAAUUUAUCAUAAGAUUUAAAAUAAAAAAAUCUAAAGUCAAUACUUUCUAUCUUAACACUUUCUUUUAAAUAAUGUAUUUAAUAAAAAUAAUAUUUUUAUUAAUUUUUUUAUUUAGCAUUAUUAUCUACCUUGAUAAGUAAUUUUUUAAAAUGCCUUAUCUGAAUGCAAUUAUUUAUAUCAUAUAAAGAAGACCAAACUAAAUAUCAACAUCAAUUAUUUUUUUUUUAAAAAAGAUUUUUCUUUUAAGCUGUAAAACUAAUCAAUUUUGUUGAUUUAAAUUUUCUUAAAUGAUCUUAUUUGAGCAUGUCAAUUUUGUUUUUUAGAAUUGAAUAAAUAAAUAUUAAAAAUAGUAUAAAAAUUAUUCAUAAUUAAAAUUUAAAGAAUACAUUUUUUGUUUUGAAUAAUUUUUAUAUGUUUUAAUAGGCCAAAUUUUUCUAUCUACUUUUUAAGAUAUUUUAGAUUGAAAAAAAAUUUUAAGAUUAUGUUAUUUUUAUAAUAAAUCUUAUUUCUUUAAAUAUAAAAGAAAAUAAAAAGGUUUGUAUAAUCUUGCAACAAAUUUACAAAAUAUAUACUCCUUUAAAUCAAAUCUAAAUUCCAAAUCUUGUACUAUCUUUUACUACUAUGAUUCUUAGACAAUUCUCAUGUUUUUGGUCAAUUUCACUCAUAGUAAAAAAAAACAUAUCUUUUUCUUUAAAAACUAUUAAUUUAGAAUUAUUUUAGUUUCUAUCUAUAAUUUAAUAAAAUUAUAUUUUUUAAUGUAAUAAGUCUGAAAUUAGUACAUCUAUUUGGUCAAUAAGCACUAUUUUAUAAAAGUAAAUUUAUGGACAUUUAAAAAAUUAAAAAGAUUAAUGAAAAUUCUUUCUUUCUUUCUUAAAAUAACUUAUAUUUAAAGUUUUUAUUAAAUUAUAGUUUUUUUAAGAUUAAUUCACAUUUAAAAUAUAAAAUUAUAUAUAUUUAUAUUAAGAAAAUUUAUCAAAUGAACAUUAUCAAAAAGAACCUAGUGGAUACCUCCCUUUUACUGCAUAGACACCUCCUUGUACUAUAUACCUUUGCAUAUACACCUUCCAAAAAAAGUAACUAGUGUUGAUUUUAAAUUAUGUUUCUUGAUUUAUUUAUUACUUCAAUAUCAAAAUUGGAUUUAUUUUUAUCCAUAUGUAUUCUAGAGCUCCAUAUUGUACCAUUUCUUUGAAUAUUGUAGAUUAUGGAUAUAUCAAUAUAUCCUUCUAUCUCUCUCGGUACUUUCUUUGUAUUUCUCAUUUAUUUCUUUGAGAUAGUAAAUAUAUUAUUUGGAAUAGAUUUUUUCCUUUAUAAUAGUCGCCUCUAAACAAUGAAUAGAUAGUUGUAACAAUAAAAAUAAGUUGGCUGAAAGAUUUUUAAAUAUGUGUAUUUUGAGAGAAUUGUUUUACAUAUUCUAAAAAAUUACAAAGUUACUAAUUAUUGGUCGAGUUACACGAAAUGUUUUUACAUUUCAUAGUGUGUAUAUAUAUAUAUAUAUAUAUAUACGCACAUACAUAUAUACUUGAAAAGAAACCUAAGAAUUGCUGCUUUUUUCAAUAUAACUAUUUCAUCCCAAUUUUGAUAUAAAAUUGAGCAUUUUUCCAUGUAGUAAGUACUAAAUAUGAAAAAUAGAAAUCCAAAUACACUUAUCAGAAGAAGCUACAAUCAUGUACAUUUAUUAGGGAAAAUUCAAAAACCAAGAAAACAAAGAAUUAUUCAACCCAACUAGUACAGCAGAUCAUCCUGUGACUGGAAAGCUGUGUAUACUAACAACCACUUGUCACCGCUGUGAGUUGUGGAGUUAUCGCAGUAGAUCAAUGAAUUCAGGAUUCCGACUCAAUCCAGAACCGGACUCAUCCGUGGUCUUAUUGAUAGAUGCCCAAGUUAGAUGCCCCUUUCACAGAUUGUUUCAUACAGACACUCAAAACACAUUUAACAUAUCCACAAGUAACAUCAGCUCGCGGAAUCAUGUCGACUAUUCUCACUGGUUCAGCGUGAUGAAAAUAUAAUAGCCAACGAAGGGGUGCAGAAUCUCAACCACAUGAGCCAACAAUAUUCACACAGAACGCGAGACAACACAUACAGCACUCAAUCCACAAACAAGAAGUGGGGCGAAACUACAUGGUCGAACCAUUGCGGAACUAAUGCCACAAGUUCACUACUUCAUUCAAAAUUUGUGAUGAAUUCUACAUUGGCGAUUGGGUACUCACUCAAGCUCUAUGUGCACAAAUCGGACAUAGGUGGUUUCGGAGAAUGGUUUAGUUGGGCCUGGCGACUAAGAACCCGCAGAUUUGCACCUGCUUCACGUUGUCGAACCCCAACACGCGCACGUAGCACCCGGGAAAAGUCUUCUUGCACUCCUCGAUUUCCCUCAACACCUGCGCUGAGUCCUGGCAUCCUAACAUCGGCAGCUUCCACAUCGUCCAGUACCGACCAUCGUAGUACCCUGGCGAUGAGUUGUUGACGCGAGACACGCCGUUCGAGUUCUGCUCCCAACCACACGGUUGUCAGAAAAUGCAUCGCCGACUACCACUCUCCCACGCCCACAUUUCUACAUUUCCACAAUUCGCUCUCCGACUCACUCGCCCACACACGCACCUUCCACACAUACACCGCAUGCCACCACACCUACUUGCUACAACCAUUCCCUCGCCUCGCCAGCAUCAAGGAGAAUCAACCACCAUCCCCAUACAUCAUCUGUCUUGUCCUGUCCUGUCCCAAAGCUGACGUCACACGCAAACCAAAGUCAGCAUCCCGCGCAGCUUACCACAUCGAACUCCAGGCACGGGAUCAGCUUCUGCUAGAUCAUGUACUCCACCUGCUUGGCGAUGGCGUCGUCGGACAAUGGCGGCAAGUACGAGAACGUCUCGAACUUGGUUUGGCCUAUGGGGUUCCACACCUGCAUGCACUGCACGCGGCUGCCAUUCUGCACUGAGCUUAGCGUUUGGGCCUUGGAGGCGCACAGAGUGGCGCUCUUGAGGCCCGCGAAGGCCUUGGUGGAGGUCGACCGGGAGGUCGACGAGUCUGACGAGGCUGUGGCGAAGGCAGCGGGGGCGGCGACGGUGGACGCAGCGACGAUGGACGCCAUCGCGAAGCCGUGAAUGCUACACACCCAUCUGAAGCAAGUCGAAUUUCGUGGAUAGGUAGACAAUGUCGAUGCGAUGGUGCAGUUGAAAUUAUGUAGGACCCAACGGAACGAAGUAAUUUGAUCGUGCCCACAGCUUCGAGCGGAGCACAGGCAGAUGGGGUUCGAUCGGAUAGUCUUUCCGGCUUUUCCGUGCAUCCGUGCCGAGAGGUGACUUUCCAACAGUGGAGCUGCCUCAUCGAUGCGAAGGCCCCUUUCACCACCUUCGUUCUCCUUGACACCGGAUUGUGUUUUUUUUACACUUCCUGUACUGAAAUUGUAAGGGGCAGUUUUUGGAUGGCUAAAAAGUCUCAUCUUUGGAAGAGAAUACACUGUAAGAUGAUUUCUUCCUCUGGUAGCCCCAUAGACAGACACAAUUCUGUGUUAAUGGUUGUCCACUUUUGAGCCCUGGAGGCGACGAGAGUGGCGCACCUUGAACAUGAAGAUAAGUAGCGAGAUUAUGGAAUUUGUGUGGCAGUAUUUCGAAUGAAUUGGAGCACACCUUCUCAGAGACUUAGUUUAUUCCCUUUACCGACAUGGAGUUCGCCGUUUCCUCUCUCAGAAACUGUGUUUUAUGAUUCCAUGAAUGUGAAGUUUGAAGGUGGUGAAGUUGAGUCACUGAUCUUGCCUUCUGAGCUGAGGAAAAUGGUUCUGGGUCUAUGGGUUGCCUUUUGCUGCAGCUGAUGAAUGGGAUGUGAUUGUUCUUUGUUCCGAGAACACACAAAGAGCAUAAGACUGAGCAUGUGAACUAAUAGAAAUGACAUUAGGAAUAAAGUUUAAUAUAUAUACGUAUAUAUAUGCAUGUAUAUAAAUACAUACACUAUUGGUUAUGAAGUUAUUAGCAUAAAUAGAUUCGUGUUUUAAUAUAACUUUAUGCAACACAAAAAUAUCGUGCUAUUGUUAAGUCUUUGUUUUUGGAAAUAUAAUGUCUUUGAAAAAAAAAUAAAAAUAAAAUAAAUGUUGUUACUUAAUAAACUGUGAAGAAAUUAUGUUGUGCUGAGGGUUUGGCUUUUAGAAAACACUGUAAUUUUUUAUUUUUUAUUUAUUCAUUUGUUUUUAAUUAUUGUUAUUUGAAGUAAAUCGUGAUUUCUUGUCAAUACCUCCAAGUGAGAUGCUUUUUCGAAUUUUAGAUUUGAGUAGGUAGAAAAUACGAUUUUCAUCUUUUUCUUAAUUAAAAUGCAUUCUAUUUCAACUUUAAGUUCAUGAAUCAUUCUAAUUAAGAAAAAUGUGACAAUCUAUGCAAUAUUCUAAGGUAUCACUACUUAUUUUUAAGUAUCUUACUGUUUAUUGAAGGUUAACAAUGUCUUGUAACUUGUAAAUACUAAGUUGUUGUGAUUCAGAAGCUCUAAUUUUAUUAGUUCAUGUCCUUAUCUUACAGUCAUUUGAACAAGUUUAUGGCUUAAUAUCAUGCUUUUACUUCAAAAUCAUGUAUUUAUUACUUGGCUUUUUAACAAUGCUUAGCAUAUUUACAUUAUUUCUCUUACUAAAUUUAAUUCAGUAGAUUAUCAUUGAUUUGUUAGUUUUUAUUUACUUAAUACUUAAAAUAUGUAUUUUUAAAUUCAUCCUUCUUUUCUUUCUUUCUUUCUUUUUUGGAUAAUCAGUGUUGAUAGCACCAUACACUUGCACUUCUACUUUAAGUAAUUGAAGUUAUCAUCAUUACUACUUUUGUCUCUUUAAAUAGUUUUGUAAAUCAGAAAACUCUGCAAUGCCUUUAUAAUAUUUUUCUGCAUUAACAAACUCAUUUUUUUUUUUUUUUUUUUUUUUAAAAAAUAUAUCAUCACUUUUACUGUAUAAAAUAUGAUUGUUUUUUGGAGGGCUUUUUCAUCAAUUUGAAAUUAUAUUCUACAUUAUUCAACAUUAUAUAUAAUACUUUAUAUCUAUUUUUAUUAUAUAUAAAUAGUAAUUUAUAUAUUAAGAAUUAAUAUACUAAUUAAAGAUAUAUAUUAUUAAAUAAAUACAUAAUAUUGAAUUUAUUUCAAUAAUUAUCAUUUAAAAUAAAUAUAAGAUAUAAAAUAAAAUAUAAAAUAAAAUAAUAUAUAUAUAUAUAUAUAUAUAUAUAGUAUUAUUAAUACCACCACCACUUACUUAAUAUGUUUUUAUAUUCUAUUUUUUAUUCCAAUAAUAUAAAUAUUAAAAUGACCUAGACUUUUAUUAAAUCAACCCAUUUGUCCAAACCAUCAUUGUAUCUUCAUCAACAUUCUCAUAUUAUGUGAAGUUUGCUUGAAAAUAUACUAGACACUUGGUUAUAGAAGGAAAAAUAGAACUUGCAACAAUAUAAUCCUAAUAACUCUAAUAGAAUUCUAAAAAAAAUCCAAUUAAAUUAUAACAAUGCUAAUAAAUCUUAAAUUAAAUUUAAAAGAAAUAUCAAGAAUUUACAAAAGAAAUAUAAAGAAAUCAUAAAUUAAUCUAAUAAUAUAUAUAUAAUAAAUAAUUCUUAAAAAUAUCAAAAAUAAAAACCUUAAUUGAAUCCUAAUCAAAUACUAAUAUAACUCUCAAUAAAUCAUAAUAAAAUCCUAAACCAAUCUUAAUUAAACUCUAUGUCAAGGACAAAAAAUCUCAAAGGAAGAAAAUCCUCAAUAUACUCUUGUGUCAUUGAAGAGAACUAGAAAGUCACUCAAAGAUGAUAUAAUAUUAAACUAGAAUGGCUAUUGCCAAAAACAAGAAGAUUAGAAAGACUUGAAACAAGACUAAAGACUAGAAAGAUGUUGACGAGAGUGAGGAAGGCUUUAUUCUUGCCUUCAUAUAUACUCUUAACUAGGAGCAACAUGGUAAUAUCCGAUAGGACCUCUAAAACAUGUUGACUUUACAAGACACGUAUCUUAACUUGUAAGGUAAGUUUUUUAUAUGUACAUCACAUAGUUAAUUUGUUCCACAAGCUACCAACACGUGAUUAAUUUGUUGACCAAGUUUCUAACCUAUCAAUUAACUACAAAUACAUGUAAAGUCAAAGUAGCAUCUAUGAAGCUUUAGGAAGCUUUUCCAGAAGGUCUUAUGAAAUUAAUCUACUUUUAUCUUCUUUUAUCUACUCCUAUCUAAUCAUAUAGAUAUAUAUUAGAGUACCUAUGUAUAUCCAUGACACUUUAGAUAAAUUCUAAUCAAAUUCUAAUCAAAUUCUAAUCAAAUUCUAAUCAAAUUCUAAUUCUUAAUCCCAUAGCAAAUCAUAAAAAAAUCCUAAAAAAAUCCUAAUCAAAUCCUAAACAAAUCAUAAUCAAAGUCUACAUAAAUUAUAAUUAAAUCCUAAUAAAAUCCUAAAAAAAUCAUAAAUUCAAAGCAAAUCCUAAACCAAAUCUUAAUAAAAUCCUACACAAAUCCCAAAGCCUAAGAAAAUCUUAAACUAAAUCCUAGAUCCUAAAUCAAUCCUAAUUAAUCUUUAAUCAAAUCUUAAAUCUUAAAUAAACUCUUAAUUAAUUCAAUAGUAGAUUGAAAAUUCAAUAACUAAUACUUGAACUAUUUAUUUUGACUCAAAAUUUAUAAACUUUGCAACAAAUAAAUUAAUAAUGAGUAUAAAAAAUUUGAAGGAGAUUGCACAUACCAAAUAGAUGAUAAUUCCUAAAUUCCACUCGAGUGUCAACCAACCUCCUUUUCUAACCUUAAUAUUGAUAUUUUCAAACUAUAAUCUUUUAAUUUCACCAUUCAAUUGGUCCAAAAUAUUGCAUAAUUAUUAGAAGUCAAGCUAAAUGCUAUUGAAUAAAAUUAAAUUUGAAAAUCUUCAAAUUUAUAAUUUUUUUUUAUUUUUCAUAAUCUAAAUCCAUCAAGUAUAUUACUAACUUUGAAAAUCCCUCAAAACCUCAAUAUUAAUCUAAAUGACAUGAAACUAACUCUCAAAAAUCUCUUCCCAAGUUUGCUCUCAAAUAUUUCUUUGCAGUUGAUAAAAGAAUCUUAAAAAUAGUAUAGAUACUUGGUUUUGUGCUUUAAAAUCUGAUUUCAACUUUGGUUGGCAAUUGGUCUUCUUUGGAUAUUCAUUCUUAUUUUCUUGAGGUAAUUUUUACUAAAAUAAACUCUUAACUUCUUCUUAUAUAUACUUAUAUAAUUUAUUUUUCUAAGAUACCUUAUUUUGUCUUAUUUAUGGCUAUAUAAAUUAAAUAAAAUAUAUUUUUAUAUAAAUUACUAUAAAUAUUAUAAGAUUUUACUACAUGCCUAUCUUUUAUCUAUAUUAUUUUUUUAUAUCAUUUUAAUUAGAUUCUUUUAUAAUAAAACACUUUCUUUCUUCUUUCACCUAAUGGCCAUGUUAUUGUACAACAUCCACCUCUUUUAUUCAUGUACAUCCUCCGGCAUGUAUCAAUGACUCUUUAAUUGAUGUAAGACGUUCUUUAUCUUGGUCAACUUCUAGCUCUUCAAUCUGCUCUUCCACUUCUAUUUCAAUGUUACAGAAUGGAUUUUUUUCUCUAUCAAAAUAUGAGCAUAUAUUUCUUUGUUUAAUUUAUUUAACUCGCUUUCUUGCUAUAGGUGGCUUCAAUUUUAUUCUAUUAAGUUCUCAUAACAUGUAUAUAUCAUUGUCAUGAAAGUAUUUCUUUGAAAUAUCUCUCUUCAUCUCUUAUCAAAAAAUUCUCACAUCUAACUUUCAAACUAUUUAAUAUCAAUUCAUCCUUGAACUGAUAACAUAUUUUCUUUGGAUCUCUUAAAUUGAGUUGCACAAAAGCCUUUUCAAUUCUUUCUUCAAAAUCCAAUGGUAGUUGCAAUGUCAUUGGUUUAAUCUUCUUUACAAUAGUCUUAUAUUUUGUGGUGAUAUUUACUUCAUAUUUAUCUAUAUAUUCUUUCAUUCCAUCAUAAAAUAGCUUAGAAUAUAUAUUUAUUAUCUUAUCACCGCCUUUAAAAUCCAAAUCUAAUAAAAUUUAUAAAUUAUUAAUAGUAAUAUUAAAAUAAGAUUUUUAAAAAUUUCUAAUAUGUAUUCAUCUUUAUCAAUCACUGCACGUUUUUUCAACUCAUGGUCUAUAUUUUUGACAUUUUUCUUUCUUAUUUUUUUAAAAUUACUUAUAUUUAUAAAUCAAAUAUACCCAUCUUCUAAUAAUCCUAUAAUGACCUCAUUUCUUCUACUAGGUAAGAAGUCAUCACCCUUUCUACUAUUAUAAUCUUGUUUUAUAAUGACUUGUAGUAAAAAUCCUUUGAAUUGUGAAGUUUUUUAAACUCUUUGUAUAUUCUUGGCAAAGAAUGCUCUUUCAAACUAUCUUAAUUUUUUUUAUGAUUUAUACAAACUAUUAAAAAUUAUACCACCUACUUUCUAUCUUGACUUCUUAUCUUUGUUUAGGCCAAACCAUCAUCCAUAAUCUUUGUUUCUAUUUAUGUGACAAUAAUAUAUGGUUGUCCUAGUAUAAUAAGAUAUAGAAAUAUCUUAUAUAAAAAAAAUUAUUCAUAAAUAAUAUCUCCUACUACUACUUUAAUAUUUGAAUAAGCUCCAUAUAAAUCUUCCUUUGAAUUUUUUAUUGAUCUUAUCAUCCACCAUAUUCAAUAUCAAUAGGCAAAUUUUCUUUUUUAUAUAACUCUUUUGACAUCAAAUUAAUUUCAAAACUAUGAUCAAUUAAUUCUAUAAUUGAUUCUUCCAACUCUUCUAAUUUUAGUAAAGUUUCUAUAAUAGCCUUUAUCAAAUGAUUUUGAGAAUAAUAACUAGAACCUUGAAUCAAAUCUUCUUCUUUAACAAAUCUAACUCGUGAAUCAUCUCCAAAAUUUUGCAUUUUACCUUCUUUUUCUAUAUUGCUUCUUAUUGCUUUUGUUUUUUGUGCAUUUGAUAUCAUAGUAUCUUGUGUAGAUUUUUUUUCUUUAUUUUUUCAAUAAUAACUUCAUAAAAUUUAUACUUAACGAUUCAUAGAAUUUUUUGCCAAUUAUAUAUUUAAUAUUUCUAUCUAAAAUCUAUUUUUUUAAUAUCUUUUUAAAUUUUGUAGUAGCCUCAAUAUUCAAUUGUAUUUUAUAACAAAGAACCUUUGCUUUAUCUUUUAUAAUUUUUCUUUUCUUUGUAGAAGUAUUAUCCAUUUCUUCUUUAUGCAUAAGAUUCUUUUGUUGUUGUGAUUUCUUUUCUUUUAUAGUUUUUUUCAAGGCUUUUUAUUAUUUUCAUAUUUUCUUUAGUUUUUUCUAUUAAUACUUCAUAUUAAUUCCUUGCAAUAUGAAUAAAAAACUAAUAAUCCAUCUACUAAAUCAUCCUACUCAAUAAUUUGUCAAAUAUUAUUUUCAACAUGUUUUAAAUCAUCUCUAAUAAAAAAAAAUUAGCAAAAUUCAUAGCACUUGAUCACAAAGUACUAAAUUUUCUUAGAAAUUUAAGAUUUAUACUUAAAUAUUUUCUAGGAUUUGCUUCCAUCCAAUAUAUUGAUGCAUUGUUGCUUGAAAUAUUAAAUCCUUCUUUUGUAAAUACCUUUAUCUUUCUUUUAUUAAAGUUUGUUUCUAAUUUUUUUCCACUUUCUUUUAAGUGUAUCAUACUAUCUUUAAAAGAAUAAUUCCUUUGUAUAAUGCUUUUGUAAAAUCUUCACAUUUCCUUCUUGAAUGAUCCACAAUAUUAUACUAUGUGUACUUAUGCACUACAUCUUUUAUUUGUCUCAAUUUUUGUCUUAUUGAUAUUCUUGCAAUUGAUUCUUUUCCUUAAAUUUUACAAGUAUUAUUUAUAAAUUUUUAAUUUUUUUUAUGAUUUCAUCAAUUUCUAUUUUUUCUUUCUUUGAUGUAACCAUUGAAGAUUGAAUCAUAGACAUGAGAUGAUUAAUAGACAUUUUUAUUUUAGAAGUUUGUAAUUAUUUUUGAAUAUCAAUCUUAUUCUUUUUUUUUUUUUUUUUUUUUUUUUUUUUUUUUGCAAGUAAUCUUAUUACUUCUUCUAUUUAUUUUAAUUUUUUUUUUAUCAAUCCUUCUUCUUAUUAUUUAUCUUCAAGCAAAAUUUUCAACUUUUUUUAUAACUCUCUAUUAGUCACUUAAAGAAAUAGCUCCACUUUACUUCAAUCUAAUAAUUGUCUUUUUUUCUUUAAUAAAUAAAAAUAGUCUUUUGAAUUCUCUCAAUAGGUUUGUUAGUUAAAGAUUUUUUUUAGGUCUUUUAAUCCAUUCAAAAAAUGACUUCUUUGUAAUCUAAUCACUAUCUUCUAAAAAAACUCAUCUUUUAAUACUUAAGAAAAUUUCUUCUAUGAACUUCUAAAAUAUUCUAUAAUAGGCUUUACAUAAUUUUUUAUUUUUGAUACAAAGGCUAAUUCAAAUAAUUGAAAUAAUUCCUUUUCAAAAACAUGCUUCAAUUCUAUUUCUUUUAUAUAAUAUCUUAAAUACUUUAUAAUAUCUUCUCCUUUAAAUUGAUCAAUUUUAUCUACAACUACUUGUAAUUCUUUACUUGUCAUACCUUCUUUGCAAUCUCUAAUAUAUUAUUGUAUAAAUAAAGCAAAAGCCUCAAACAUGCUUGCAAAGUUGAGAUCAAAAUACAUACCUUGUCCUCUUCUUAUAGCUCCACUUCCAACUCCACUUGAAGUAUUAAUUGAAGUACCACUAAAAGCUCCUCUUUCCAUUUUCUACCUUGUUUCUCCAUAAUUCAAAUAAAUUAAAAAAGAAUCAUUCAAAACACCUUCUACCUCAAGCUUUUCAUAUUGGGCUUACUAAAUUAUGUUAUAUUAUAUGAAAUCUGCUUAAGAAUGCAUUGGAUACCUAAUUGUGGAAGGAAAAAUGGAACUUUUGAUAAGAUGAUCUUAACAACUCUAAUAGAAUCUUGAAUAAAUUCUAAUUAAAUUAUAAUAAUGCUAAUCAAUCUUUAAUUAUUUCCAAAAAAAAGUUUCAAGAACUUAUAAAAAAAUAUUAAAAAAUAAAAAAUUAACCUUAAUAAAAUAUAUAUAAUAAAAAAUUCUUAAAAAUAUCAAAAAUAGAAAUUUUAAUUGAAUCUUCAUCAAUUACUAAUGUAAUCUUCAAAAAAUCUUAAUAAAAAUUUUAAUCAAUUCUAAUCAAAUCUUACACUAAAUUUUAAUUAAAUCCUAAUUUAAUCCUAUUCAAAUUCUAAUGAAAUCGUAAAUAAAUCCUAAUCAAAUCCUAUAUAAACCAUAAUCAAAUCCUAUAUAAAUCAAAAUUCAAUUUUAAUCAAAUUCUAAAUAAAUCUUAAAUCCUAAGCAAAUCCUAAACCAAAUCUUAAUCAAAUCCUAUAAAAAUCCUAAAUCUUAAAUAAAUUCUUAAUAAAUCAUAUAAUAGAUUAAAAAUUCAAUAACUAAUGCUCAAAUCAUUGAUUUUAACUCAAAAUUUGCAAACUUUACAACAACAAAGUUAAUAAUGAGCACAAAAUAUUUGAAGAAGAUUGCACAUAUCAAAUAGAUGAUUAUCCCUAAAUUCCAAUUGAGUGUCGACCAGCCUCCUUUUUUAACCAUAAUGUUGAUAUUUUCAAACUAUAAUUUCUUAAUUUCACCAUUCAAUUGGUUCCAAACUUUAUAUAAUUUUUGGAAGUUAAGCUAACUACUAUAAAGGAAAAUCAAAUUUCAAUAUAAUUGGCAAAUCAACAUGUAUCUUAGAAAACCUUAUUAGUCUUCUAAAUUCCAAUUUUUGAACCCAUUAUCUAUAACACUCUAGUAUUCUUUAAUAUUAUUACUCAAUUGGCUUCAAAUUUUUAUACACAUUCAUAAUAAGCAUUAAAAAAAAUUCUAAAUUUUUAUUUGUAAAUAUGUUAUGAAAAUCACAAAAUCUUCAAAUUCAUCAACUUAUUUUUAUUUUUCAUGAUCUAAAUCCAUCAAUUAUAUUAAUAACUUUGAAAAUCCCUCAUAACCUCAAUAUUAAUCUAAAAGAUAUGAAAUCAACUCUCAAAAAUCUCUUCUCAAGUUUUCUAUCAAAUCUUAUUUUGUGAUUGAUAAAAGAAUCCUAAAAACAAUGUAGAUACUUGAUUUUGUACUUUAGAAUUUAAUUUCAACUUUAGUUGGCAAUUGAUUCUCUUUGGAUAUCAAUUCAAUUUUUUGAGGUAAUUUUUGCUAAAAUCAACUUCUAACUCUUUUUCAUAUAUGUUUACAUCAUUUAUUUUUUUAAACUACCUUAUUUUAUUUUUUUUUAUAAUCAUACAAAAUAAAUAGAAUCCAUUUUCAUAGAAACUACUUCUAAUACUAUAAAAUUUUAUUACUUUCCUAUCUUUUAUCUAUAAUUUUUUACUAUAUCUUUUUAAUUAGGCUCUUUUGUAAUAAAACACUUUCUUUCUUCUUUCACGUAAUGGCCUUAUUAUUACAUUUCACUGUUUGUAAUGUUAUACUUUUUUAUUCUAUUCUCAGCCUUUGUCUCUACUUUUAAUCCUUAUUUCUUGUCUUGAUUUUCUUUUUGCCAUCUAAUAGAUGAAAUCAAAAGAUGGUCUUAAAGGUCUAAAUAGGAAAAAGAAUGAGGCUAAAUAUAGAAGUUAUAAAUACAAAGUGUUAGUAAUUCAACCUUUGUUUUUAGCUACCUUCUCUUAGAGGACGUGAUAUCGGAGGAUAUUACAUAAGACAAUUUAAUUAGAAUAUCAAAAAAAUUUAAAAAAAGAAAAGAAAAAACAAGAUGUCAAGGUGCCUCAAGCCUCAAGUAUUCACAAUAAUACUGAUUCCAUUCUAUACAUGCAUUUGCACAUAAUUUCAUUCAACUUGCACUUCCUUCGACAAGUCUUAUUUCUUCCAUAGCUAAUGCAAGCUUGCGAAGAUUUAUAAUCAUCUUGUCCAAAUGAAUAAACCUAUUAUCAUAUCAAUCUAAGUAAAUAUUUUUAAAAUUAGUAUAAUUUUUGAAAACUUAUGUUGUAUAAUUUAGGAACUAACAAUUAUUAUCUAUAUGUAUAUAUAUGUGUGUGAUGAAAUAAGCCUUGCCAGCGAUAUUUCUUAAGAAGAAAAUUAAGUACACUUUGAAUUUUGAGAUUAAUCAACUACUACAUAUGAUGAAUGUUGUAAGGUAAAUGAUGAAGUGUACCAUAAGCUUGGAACUAAAACAAUGUCUAUGAAUGUCUUUAUAAGAUUUCAACGAAAGAAAUCCAUGGAUGUAAUUUGGAGAAGAUUACUUAGUUAGCUAUUGGGCUAUAUCUUUCUUCAUUUUGUCAUAUUGAAAUUUUUUAUAAUAUGUAAAAAUUAAUUACAGCAUAUAAUAUAUUUAUAAGUGUUGAUGUACAUUAGAUUGGUUAAUAGAUUAAUUUAAAGAGAAUUGAUUCAAAAAAAAUUAUUUUGAAGUUUACUUAUAUUGAUUAUGAUGCUUAAAUUAUAUAGGAUAUAGAUAUUUAGUAUAAAAUUUAAAGAGAAGAUUUGAGCUCAAAGAUGAAGAUUCAAACCUUUAAAAAACUUAUUUGAAAGGAUAAAAAUAAGGUAUGGAUAGAUGAAGGUAAAAGAUAAAGAUCUUCAUCCAUAUUGCUCAAAAGCUAUGCCUAACAAGCAUUGAGUAAGUUGUCUCCAAUUAUAAAAAAGAUUUCAUUGAUUUUGAAAGCGGCAUUUGAGAAUCAAAAGUAAGGAUUGUAAAGUUUAGAAUUUGACUUACAAUUUGUAUACAAAUAUUAGAGGAUUUAGAAUUAUGGUGAUGAAUUUAUAUUUGUUUGAAGUUAAGAUGUCUUUUUAAUACAUAUUAUUACUAUUUUGAAGAUACAAGGAAUUAUAUGAUAGAUUUUAGAGAUUUGGAGAAGCAAUCGCAAGGAUGAGUAAAUUCAAAGAUAGUAAGUGAGAUAUUUUGUUGAUAGUAAUGAUUGGAGCCAUAUUUUGAGUUUUCAAAUGAAUUUUAGCUCAAAAUUUCUAAAAGUGUAUGUUAUUAGGUUAAAAAACUAUAUAGUAAAAUUUUAUGGUAUUUAAGUACUUAAUUUGUGAGAUAUAAAGAAAUUUGCAUAUAGGUGUAUGUAAAUAAGAAUUUGAAGCUAUUGUUAGGAUUUUGGUGAUAUCUAAAGAUCCAUAGUGAAUUUAUAAAUGAAAUUUGUUGUAGUAGUUGUUAAAAUUACAUAGUACUUUUUGUAAAAUUUGGAUUUGUUUGGACAGUUUGAUUACAAAAUGAGCUGUUGAAGUUUGGAAAAAAAUCAUCUUAAAAAUAUAUAAGGUUUUAUAAUAUUUUUAUCACAUUUUUAAUGAUCAUUAAUACUUAGGGCUUAUGUGUUGAUAUAAUUUCCCUUAUAGGGAUAAUUUUAUAUAUAAACUUGAUAUUUUUUUUAAUCUUGAGGCUUGAUUGACUAAUUCGUCAUAGCUAGAAGCCUAGUGCUUUCUUAAGGCAAAUUAUCUCUACUUCAACAUAUUGGUGCUUCUAUUGAGAGAGCCUUAAGGUACUAAAUUUUUUAACAAGUGAAGAUGGGAGGUCAAUAUUAGGUAGACUAGAUGCUCAUGAUUUAUUCAAAGCAUUUGCUUAAUUUAUAGAAGAGAGAUAAUAGGUGCAUAGAAAGGAUAAGAACACCAUCAAAGCUUUACAAGUAGUAGUGGAUAAGGUUAAAAGUUUUAAUAGAAGAAACAUCAGUAAGUUCCUAAAGAUUUAUACAUAUGAAUUGGAGGUUUAUUAAGUUUCAAAAAUCAAGAUAAUUACCACCUUUGAUUUGGCAAUGAUACUAAAAAUUAGAAAGAUGGUGCAAGAGUUGCAUAUUGAGGCUAUAUCAUGGAAGAAAUUUGAAGAAUUCUUGAAUGAUGAAUUUUUUGAGGAAGAUUCAAAGAGAAUGAUAAAAUAGACCUUUUUGGAAUAGAUUGAGCAAAGGCCAGAGAAUCAAAUGGCUUCAAAUGAAUUAAUUAAGAAAUUUGAGAUCAAGUUUGGAUAAUUGCCAUAGCAAAAAAGAUAGCUAUUGGAAAUAAGAAAAACUGGAUUAUUCUUACAAGCAAUUGAUGAAUACUUAGAAGUUAAGCUUCUCUUUUAUCUAGCAGACAAGACAUUUGAGAGUGGUUUUACUAAUAAUUAGAGGUUAAUAAAAGAGACAAUGGAGCUUUAAGCUAAAAAAAAAAAAUUAAGACUCAAGAUUUAAUAUUAAGAUUGGAGCUAGUGCCUACAUUCCUAAAUCUAGUGCCACCUCAAAAGGUAAGCAAGAUUGUUAAGGAUGAGACUCUUCAAGAAUUCAUUAAAGACAUACAAGAUUUGAGGGUGGAAAUGACUAAAUUCAAGAAAUCUUAGAUAGAAAGUUCAUCAAAGAUAAUUGAAGACUGUAGAAUAGGUAAAUAAACUUUGUAAUAAGUUACUAGUUGGUUAUUGAAAACCUUGAGAAUUAGACUAAUGGAUAGGCAGUUUAGCUGGUAACAGUAGAUUGUUAGUACAAUAAAUGGUUAAGAAUUCAAAAGAUCAUAACCUUUGGAAUCUGCUGGCUGACGGAUCAUCUUUUUGGUAGGAUAAAUAGGUUGAGGAAAGAGAGAUCGAGAGCUAGACUGAGAGUCGUAAGCCGAAGUAAGCUUGGUGCUACCUCUUUAUUUUCUUUAUUAUUUACUUAUGAAGAAUGAUGAUUGAGAGAAGUAUUGUUGAAUUGAUAAUCGUAGAAUGGAUUAUGGAUUGAAUUAAGAUGGAAGUAAUAAGCCUCGGUGUUUUGUAGUUUGAUACUUGAUUUCAGAUAGCCAGAAUAUAGUCAAUUGUGACAUUAACAGAUCCAAUUCAUAUAACUAGUCUUUCUCUGUAUUCGAAACCACCUCUAUUAGUUCAAUUGCUUUGGUCUACUGAAGCUUAAACGCAACGAGAACAACAUUUUGGUACCGCUGUCGAAGAAAUGAUAACAAUAUGAAAUGUUAAAAAUUGAUUGUAUGGAAGAUGGAAUUAUAUGUUGAAUGAGAACGUGAAAAGAACCAGUUUUAGGAUUACAAAUAUGUGAGUUAUAAUUCAAGGCAGUAUUGAUUUUGUAAAGAAGAAUGAAAGAUUAUGAGUGGUAAUUAUAGAAAGGAGGAUUAUUAAAGAUAUAAUCGACAAACAAAAGAAAGACAAGAGUGAAUACGCAUAAGAAAUAGCCUAUGGGAACGACAAAAAGGAAUUGCAGGUCCAAGAAAAAUCAAAAGAAGAAAAAUUCAAAUUCAAAUAGUAAGGAGACCAUUGAUAAUAUCAACGACCACAAGAGUGCCAGAAGUACCAAUUGCAGUACAAAUGGGAGCAGUAGGAGAUCGAACUUUAAGUAUAGCAUCAUUAUCUAUUUUUAGUGGUUGCUUAGGCUCUGAUCCUGAUCACCAUAUAUCUCAAUUCUUGACAGCCUGCAUGGCUAAUAAUGGUAGAACUGAAGACAUUUAAUUGAGAUGGUUGCCAGCAAUUUUAAAAGAUACAACUUUUGAAUGGUAUAUUCAGUAACCAAUGGAUAGAUUUCCUAAUUGAGAGGCCUUGAGGAAUGCCUUCCUAAUCCAUUUUAAACCAUAGGAUUUGAAGAUCUAUUUCGAGAAAGUUUUAUGAAUAGCAGGAUGUUUGCCAGAGAAUCCGUAGAGUCCUAUUAUGGCCGGAUUGCGGAUAUACUUUGUAAAUGGUCAAAUAAUCAAAUGCCAAAUGUGUUUAUAUUUUUGAUAUUAAUUAACGGUUUGUAUCCACCAGAAUUAAAAAUGUUUGUAAAAGAAGCUUGACCAGCUAUGGUAGAGGCAUUGUUGGCAUGAGCAAAGGUAUGGGAAGAAUGUCAUUAUGACCAAUUAUUAACAGUAGAGGCCACGAUGAUUCUAAGUUCAGGAAGCCAACAAAUACAACUGAGAAAUGUGUCGAUGGGUAAUUAUCCACAAAUGGCUGCCUCCAAUGUGAAGAAUAUUAUGUUGCAAUAAUCAAUUAAUACUACACCAGUCUAAGCAAUAGCACCAAUAAUGAUGACAUCUUAUUUUAUAUUGCCAACCUAUCGACAAUCAGAGUUGUUUACAAAUGCGACAGUUAAAGAUCCAAAUGAAGCCUUGUUAUUAAAUCUAACAAAGAAAAUAGAAGAAUUGGCCAUGAAUUUGGCUAAAGAUAAGGAGAAAUGAUAUAAGCCUUCUAAUAUGAGACCUAAUGUAUGGUAUAAUAAUUAUAAGGAAUAAGGUCAUUUUGAUAUGGAAUGUCCAUCAUCCAGACAAAUGGGUGUUCAAUGUAUAUUUUACGGAGGAAAGUACCCUAUCCAAAACUGCUGGUAUUUACAAAGGCAACAAUAAUUCAGUAAUCAGACCAUGAUUCUAAUGACUCAGUGGAAAGUCAAUCAAAUUCAAAUAGAAAAUACAUAUGGAUGGAAUGGAAAUCGAUCUAAUUAACAAAAUCAAACAUUCAAUAACUUUGUAAGUUCCAAUUUUAAUUAGGGGUCUACAUCAAACCCUCAGAACUACGGGAAGGAACAACAAAGGUAUCAACAAUAUGCUCCAUCGGCGUCAUUGAAUCAAGUAUCCUCUGUACCAACAAGACAAUCAAGAUCAUUUUCUAACCCUACAUCGAACAAGCUUAGUAGGUAUAUAACGAUGGAGACACCCAAUAUGCCGAAUGGAGGUACAAAAAGACGACUUUGUUGUUUUCGUUGUAGACAGAUUGGUCAUUAUGCCAGUGAAUGCCCAAUCCCAAAGCCAGUGACGAUUAUGUUCUAUUAUGUGUGAAUUGUAAGCAGUCGAGACAUACUUAUCAGCAAUAUAAUGCUCUGUUCAAUUUCAAUAAUUGAGAUCAGCAAAUCUAAAGCCAAGAAAAAAUGAAGGAGAUAAAUCAAGGUCCUCAAGAUUCACCAGUUCAUCGUAUAGAAGUAGUCCAAGCUGUCCUUACAAGAAGUCAGCAAAAGGAUAAAGAACCAAUUCAAUAUUUGAGUGAUCCUGAAGCGAAGGACCAAUUGGACCCUAUUAUAGGGACAUCUAAUCUAGGUUCUGACAUGGAUCCCUUACUCAGUAUAAGACCUGAAUCGGUUGUGCACUCUAAUGAGGUACGAAUUACGAAGGCUUUGAUUCCGUGUGAAGUUGUUCCGUUCUCUACAUAAUUUUGGGAAAUGUCUUUUUCAUUGAAAGAUCCUCUAAGAGGCAUGAAUUCCAAAGAACCAAUAUCAAUCCAAUUGGGAGAAAAAUCUUACCCGUUGAAAGAACCGAUUUUACAGGCUUUGUCAAAUUCAAUUCAAGGAGCUUUACCAAUUUCUAAUAUAGAGAAAAUCAAUUUACUUACAUCGGUGUCUAGGACGAAGAAGAAGAAACAGAUAUUGGGAAUUACCACUAAUACAGAACCAUAUGAUAUUCUAAAAGAUUUGGACACCAUACAACCCACGAUCUCCAUGAAGCAACUUUUGGCGAUAGCACUUGAGUGCCAAACUAUCUUAAAUUCCUCAUUAAUUUGUCAUAGAUCUCAAAAUAAAGAAAUUCGAGAAGUAAGUUUGAAUCUCAAUCCGGAUGCACCUAUGAUUGAUGUCUCAAUUGAUGGAGUGUUAUUAUCAAGAGUACAAGUAGAUGAAGGAUCUAGUAUAAAUCUUAUGAAUGCUGCUACAAUGAAGGAACUAGAUUUGGAUCACUUAUUGCUUACUACAGUGGUUUUGAGAAUGGCUGACUGCAAUCGAGUUAAACCUAUGGAUAUUUUACAAAGUAUUGAUAUAGUAAUUGUGGGGAUUACCUACAAAAUUGAUUAUAUUAUUUUUUCAUUAUAAAGCUCUAUAUUAUCAUAUCCAAUUUUAUUAGGAUGACCGUGGUUAUAUCAAGCUAAAGCUCAAAAUGAUUGGAGCCAUGGUACAUUGACAAUUGAGAAAGGUAAUGAUAAAAUUGUGCUUCAAAUGUACCCUGUCCAAUAUCACGGAGAAACUCAAGUCGCCAGUUCAGAAUUCACGUCGGAUUGUGAAGAUGAGUCUUCAGAAGAAGAAAUUGGUGCACCUGCUCUAAUUUAUGCUGAUACAAGGUAAGUUGUCGAGCACACUAGAAUGAACUACCAGUGCAUGGGACCGUAAGAGUACUUAGUUCUUCCAGAUGUUAUUGACGAUUCUGAUCAAAUGAUUGCAUAUUGGAUGAAUAGACAGGAUGUUAAUCACAUUAGUACUAUGGAACUGGAGUUGGAAAGUUCUCAUAUGUCGAAUUUUAUGAAAGAUUCUUGAUUUAAGCAGAACAUCAGUUUAGGGACUCCUGAAAUUCCACGAUGUCAACCAAUUAAUUUAGGUAUAGAGGAGGCUUCCCAAAUCAUUCAGAUUUACGACGGUAUAAAAGGCAAGGAGAAAGAAAUUUGGGUGGAUUAUUUUUUAAUGCAUAAAACUGCUUUCGCAUGGUCAUAUGCAGAUUUGAAAGAAAUUCCAGCUAAAGUUGGUGAGCAUCAAAUUAUAUUGGAGGAGUACGCUAUACUAGUAUGCCAAAGACAACAUCGACUUAAUCCAAAAUACUCACUUAUGGUAAAAGAAGAACUAGAUAAACUCUUGGAGGUUAGAUUUAUCUAUCUAAUUCUUUUCAGUGAAUGGGUUUCACCAAUUAUUAUGGUACCGAAAAAAAAUAGAAAAGUUUGCAUCUGUCAAGAUUUUUAAAAAUUAAAUACGGCUACCAAAAAGGAUUAUUUUCUUUUAUCAUUCACGAAUAGUAUAUUAGAUGUUAUCGCUGGAUAUGAAUGUUAUUCAUUUCUUGAUGGAUUCUUUGGUUAUAAUCAAGUUAAAAUUGUAAAAGAAGACCAGUUAAAAACUACUUUUACUACGGAUUGGGGGACCUUUGCUUAUAAGGUUAUGCCAUUUGGGCUUUGUAAUAUACCAGCUAUAUUUCAAAGGGUAAUGAUACAAGUGUUCCAGGAUUAUCUACGAAUUGUAAUGGAAAUAUCUCUAGAUGAUUUUUGUACAUUUAGUAUGAGAGCCACGCAUUUAGAAUGUCUAGGUCAAUGUUUGAAUCAAUGUGCCAAAUAUGGAAUUUCUUUAAAUUCAGAAAAGUACCAAUUUCGUAUACCUUCUAGUAAACUAUUGGAUCAUAUAGUUUCAAUGGCAAGCAUUACUAUAGAUCCGAAUAAAAUAAAGAUUAUAGUAGAAUUAAAGCAACCAGAUACUAUUACGGGUGUUCAAGCAUUUGUCAGCCAUGCCAGUUAUUAUCGGUGAUUUAUUUAUCUAUUCAUAGUUAUAUGCUUUUCCUUAACAAAUUUCUUGAAGAAACCACUAACUAAUGGGACUAGUCCAUUUUGGACAAAGGAAUGUACAAUUGCAUUUGAAACAUUGAAACAAAAAUUGAUUUCAGCACCAGUAUUGGUGGCACCUUGUUGGACAAAACCAUUCCAAGUUUAUAUGGAUGCAUCUAAUGUCGCGAUUGAUUCUGUGCUAAGCCAAUAAGAUGACCGGGGUUUUGAUCACCCUAUUUAUUAUGCAAGUCGUCAAUUGAUAGCAGCUGAAAGAAAUUAUACAACAACCGAAAGAGAAGCAUUGGGAAUGAUUUAUUCCAUACAAAAGUUUUGACAUUAUUUUCUUGGUUAUAAAUUUAUUUUCCAUGUCGACCAUGAUGCUUUAAAAUAUAUGAUUAAUAAGCCUCAAUUGAGUGGUCGUAUUACAUGAUGGAUUCUACUCUUGCAAGAAUUUGACUUUACUAUUCAGGUAAGACUAGGAAAAUCACAUUCCAAUGCGGACCAUUUAUCUCGGUUAUUCAAUAUAUUGGGUAAUGAACCCAUUAACGAUGCACUAUCUAAUACAGAACUAUUUACGAUAGAUGUAAUUACUCCGAAGUAUAGUGAAAUAAUUCAAUACUUGACAUUUCAAACCUUCCUACCCAAUUUCAAUAAAAAGCUUAAACGAUGCUUAAUAUUAAAAUGUACACCUUAUACGAUGAUUCGUGAAGCUUUAUAUAAAUAAGGCAAAGAUGGAGUUUUAUGAUGCUAUAUUUAUCAGACUGAAGUACAUACUAUAUUGGAAGGUUGCCACUUCGACAAUUGUGGUGGACAUUUUGCGGAGGACAGCACGGCUCGUAAAGCUUUACAAGCUAAUUAUUAGUGGCCAACAAUGUUUGCAGAUGCCCACCAAUUUGUCCGUCAUUGUGACCCAUGUCAAAGAACGGGUCGAUCUAUUGGAACUUCAACAAUGCCAUUCGUACCAAUUCUAGCUUAAGCGCCUUUUAAAAAAUGGGAAAUUGAUUUUGUGGGACUAAUUGCACCAGCCUCGAGAAAUGGACAAAAAUGGUAUAUAUUGGUAGCAACGGAUUACGUAACAAAAUGGGCUGAAGGCGUAGCUACGAAAAUCGAUAGUGCAAGUAUAAUAGCAAUCUUUUUGUAUGAAAAUAUUAUUAUACGGUUUGAUUGUCCACGAGAAUUGGUUAGUGAUCGGAAAACUCAUUUUAUCAAUAGUAUGAUCGAAGCACUCACAGCUAAAUAUGAGAUAAAAUAUCGGAAGACUACACCGUAUCAUCCUAGAGCCAAUGGACAAAUGAAAAAGACUAAUAGAAUUUUAUGUAAAAUCUUAACAAAAAUAAUUUCAAGAGCUAAAACAGAUUGGGAUACUAAGUUGUUCGCAGCUUUAUGGACAUACCGUACUGCGUAUAAAGUUACUACCAAUGCUAUUCCUUUCCAAUUGGUUUAUGGCCAGGAAGCAAUCUUACCUAUUGAAUUAGAAGUCCAAAGUUUACAAAUUGCUAUAGAUAAUAGAUUGAGAGAUCAAGAUUCAUUACGGCACCGUUUAGAAGAAUUGGAAAAAAUGGAUAAAACUAGAGCCAAUGCAUUAAUGAUAAUGGAAACUACACAAAAACAAAAGAAGACUUAUUAUGAUAGUAAGCUCAGACCAAAGGCUUCUAUGCCAAAUGAUUUGGUACUUCUUUACGAUAGUCGAUUUAAUAAUUUUCUAAGAAACUUUCAAGUUUGAUGGCAUGGGCCAUAUCGAGUUAUUGAUGGAUUUCCAAAUGGUUCAGUAUAAUUGGAAGAUUUUAUGGAUACUAAAUUUAUAACACGAAUCAAUGGUAAGCGGCUUAAAUUUUAUUAUACAUAAACUUGGGAUGGAUUUUCUAUUACAAAAGGGGAAGUCGACCCAAUUGAUUGGACCAUAGUAAGAAGUAGGAGGGGGACUCUUGACAAGCAUCGUGUUUUUUUUUGUGAUUAAGGAGAAGAUGGCAAACAUGAUAUCUGAGACAAUAAGGAUGGCGACCGAUUGGAAGAAACGACAAGAACGACAACAGGUAGAGGUUGUGAUCUUACAUACUAAAUUAAUAGCAUUAGCAAAGAAGGCCAAUAAUUUAGUACAGAUCAAUAUGCCAGUUUCAAUGAUAACAUCUUUGGAGAUACCUUUGAAACUGAUAGAAGAAUGGCAGAAGUUGUUAGAGGAGCGUGACAACCAAAUUGUCUAACGUGAGUCUCAGGUACGAAAAUUGGGUUUGUUGAAUGAAGAUCUGAUGGCACGUUUGGAUAGAAAACUAUCAAACACCGAGGCAGACGAUGAAGAUGUAAAGAGGAGAAGGUCACCAAUUCAAAGGAUGAUAAGCCAACGCCAUUGACUAAAGAAGCCAACGUUGUCGUAUUACAUGAAAUCUUUCUUAAGAAUGCACCAGACACCUGGCUGUAGAAGGUAAAAGAAAAUUGCAACAAAAGGUCCAAUUAGUUGAUGACCUCAAAAUUCCACUUGGAUGUCAGUCAGCCUCUCCUUCUCCAAUAUGAUGCCAAACUUCUAGCACCGAUAUCUCCUUUUUCUACCAUUCGAUUGCUUCCAAAUUUUACUUUUAUAUAGAAAAUCAAGUCUUCUACUGAUAAAACCAAAAAUCUCUCUAAUCUAACUAGCAGAUUGCUAGAUAUCUAAGAAAAACUUACUGGUCUUCAAAAUCCUAAAUCUCGAGACCUUAGCUCACAAAACCUUCAUAUGUAUCAAUCUAGCCAUUCAAUUGACUUCAAACCUCUUGUACACAUUCACAACAAGCAUACCAAUAAGUCUUUAAAUUUUUAUCCAUAAAAAUGUUACAAAAAUCAUGAAAUCCAAAAAUUUGUAAACUAGUUUUAUUUCUCAAAGAUCUAAAAUCACAGAAAACAUCACUCGCUUUGAAAAUCCUUCAAAAUCCAAUAUUGAUCCAAAUGACACAAAAUCACCUCUCCAAAAUCCCUCCACAAGUCUCUCCUAAUUUAGCUCUCCAAUCUCCUCCCAAAAUCUCUCCGCCCGUCUGUCCCCUAUUCUUCAGCCUUGGUCUUUCCAAAUUGGUCAAGCCAAUGGAGCUUUUUCCCCCAUGCAGUCCAAUCGUCCUGCCUUCGACCUCUCAAAUUGGUCCAACCAACGGAACAGCUUACCCCCCUAUGCGGUCCAAUAUCCUCCUGCUUUGGACUUCCCAAAUUGGUCUAGUCGACAGAAUAGCUUACAACGGAGCCAAAGUCUCCGUAUUGAGACCUCAUUGGAUUGCCAAUCGAGUCAAGUUUUAUACUGGAUAAGAGGCCAUAACAAGACCUGACUUAGACGUCUCCGUAAUUAGAUCAGAUUGGCCCUUCACAUCAAGCUCACUCAAUGUUAAAUUAGACCUUUCUCUUUCUGUUGACUCAUGUUAUUGGAAUUAAACCAAGUAUUUCAUUACUGAUAAGUAUGCUCCGACUGACUACAAUGGUGUCGUAUUGUGACAUGAGUAUAUCGUGAAAAUAUAAAGAAAUGGGACUUUUAUUAAUGUUCAGUUACCUCGAAUAUUGGGAGCAACGAUCGAUUCCAGUGCCAAUAUUCAGGAGCCAAUUCAAACACCUCAUCACAAUCGGUCAGGGCAUACUUACCAAUAACGAAAUGCUCCGUUCGAGUCCAAUAGUGGGAGUCAACAGAAUCGAAAGGACUAAAUUGAUGACUGAAGGAGCCUGCCACAAAGGACCAAUUUGAUCCAAUUACAAGAACAUACAAGUCUUACUACGGGCUUCUUAGCCAAUAUGAGUCCUGAAUUAGUCGGGCGACUUAAUGUGGUUCCGAUUACGGGGGUUUCAAUUCCAUUUCAAGUUGUCUUGUUCCUUGUGCCAUUUUAGAGAACGUUGUUUUCAGAAAAAGAACCUUUUAAAAGGCAAAAAAUGGAGGAAAAAGCUCUGACGACGGGAGCCAAUUCUGGAUCCAAGACAGAAGAUUAAAGAAAUUCAGAGGUUAGGGUUUGAAAGAGGAGAGAAUUAGGGUUAAAGGGGAGGAUAGGUUAAGAAAUGAAGGUGGGAAGAAUCAGGGUUUUUAAGGAGGAAGAGCUAGCUUCAUGCUUCGGGGGAGGAAAAAAAAAGACAGAGAAUUGGGGUUUAUUUUUCAUAGGAUUUUGGGAAGACUUCUGGCAAUCAAUGCUGAGAGGUCGAUGUGUUGUACUGGUAAAUCGGGGUUUUAAUGAAGUGGAUAUAAUUACUCUUGACUGUUUUGUAAAAUCGAAGUUACGUCUGUGAUUAAAGAAUUAAAAGGGUGUCUAUAGGAUUGAGUAUGCGGAGUGAAUGAAAAUUUUUGGGUUAAUCUAACAAGACAGUCAGUGGAUACAAGGUCGUGAGUAUAAAGCGGUAUCAGAGAUUAGCACAUUGGAUUGUUCGGGAUUCUCUGUAACAUAUAGAGAUCUAUCGGCUAGGACAAAAAGGAUUUCGGUGAGAAAUCGAAGGACAUCCAUAUAGAUUUACGGUAUAUUCUUGUAAUUAUUUAUAUUUCAACAGUCAAAAACCGAUAGACUGCUUGAAUAUUAGCGAAUCUCCAUACUACCUUCUACAGCCAGACGUCCGGUGCAUUUUUGAAUAAGAAAGCACGUAAUACGACAUAAGUGGUGAACCCAAUGUGAAAGCUUGAGGUGGAAGAUAUUGGAUUUCAUUUGAUUUUAUUUUUAUUUUUAUGGAGAACGAAAAUAAAAAUUUUGAAGGAUCUUUGGGAGGAAUUUUUAGUGGGGGUUCUUCUAAAGGACAAGGUAUGCACAUGGAUCUGUCUAUUGCUAGUAUGUUUCAAGCCUUCUCAUUAUCAAUGCAGCAACAACAAAGCAAUGUUCGAAGGGAAGCUUUGGCAACCAAAGCAUUGCAAGCAGUGGUCAAUAAAAUUGAUCUAUUUGAUGGAAGGAAUAUUUCAAGGUAUUUAAGAUGUUAUGUUUGUGAAAUGGAAUUAAAUCGAGUUUCUGAGAAGAAAAUGGUUGCACUAUUUGGACUUGCCAUGAUACCGGAGAUAAGAGACCAUAUUACAUCGAUUACGGAUCGUUAUGGGAAUUCAUGGGAGGUUUCUUCACAUUCAUUGAAAGACGAAUAUUUCUUGAAAGAUGCUGAUCACGUUACUAAGAAGCUGUUUCUGGAAUGGAUUGAAUGGCCUAAUAAGAAUUUGCAAGCAACAGAGCUACUAAAGAAAUUUGGGAGGCAAUACUCUCAAUUAUCAAAGGUAGAAAAAUUGACAUUGGAACCGAACAAAGUUGAUCUAUUUCUUCAAGCUGCUGAUGGAGAAUUGCAAGGAAAAUUAGAACUCCUUCUUGAAGACAAAGAAGAAGAUGAAGGAUUGACAUAAAAGUGGAAGAAUGUUGAAGAUGCAGUGGGGUUGCUUACAAAAAGAGAAAAGAGGAAGGAUAGGAGCAAUAUUUCAAAAACAGUAUAAGCAUCCAAAGCUCCAGUACAUACAACACCACCAACAAUGCCUACAGUUCAACCUUCGACAUCCUUAUGAAAGAAAGCAGAUAUGGGGAUGGAAGAAAUUAUACGAGGAAUAUGAGAUCUUCAAAUCAAAUGAACAAGACUUGAAGAAAAUACUUCUACUAACAAUUUGAAGAAUAUUUCAAAAUAAGGAUAUGUAGAAAGAUGCAUUUGGUGUGAUGAUGCUUCACACACUAUGAAAGAUUGGAAUGAAUUUAAUAAUAUGAUACGGCAAGGAAUUAUUUGUUGGAAAGAUGGGAAGAUAGCAUUAAAAGAUAGGGAGGAUCUUCUUCAAAUCAAUUUUGGCAAGGGAGGAAUGAGAGCAUUGGUUCAAGAUUACUUAAAAGAGCAUGAAACAGUAGCACGAGAAAGUGCAAGUUAUGGUGCUAGAGUAGAUGAUGACCUUGGAAGAAGUACGAAAACUAGUGAGUUUUGGGCUUCUGCCGUUUCUACAAUGCAAUAAGGAAAAUUACCUCGAGAAGCGUUAUUGAGGACUGUAGCUAUAAUACAAGGUGCAACAAGUUGGGAGGAUCCUGUUGAGUCUCUUUCAGUUCAUGCAUAUAUUGCUAAGAGCCAACAUGAAGCUUUGAUGGAAGAAAAGAGACGAAGAAAUUUUGAUGAUACGAGAGAAGGAAAUUCUUCUAAGAGGCAAACUCGAGGAGACAAGGCUCGGGAGGCAGCUUCACAAGAAUUGCCUGUAAAGGAUACCUUAGCAUCAUUGGAAGAAAAAAUAAGGGAGACAAAAGAUAAGGGAAAAUCAAUUACUUAUAAGCUACUUUCUAACAUUGAAGCGACAAAAAAUUUGAAAGGGGUAUUGAAAGAAUGUAUAUUAAACGCUAAGGUGGAAUUCACAUUGAAAGAAGUUUUGAGAAUUGUAAAGAAGGAAUUUCAUGAUGUUAUCAUUGACAGCAUUAAGCGAAAGAGGCAAUUAAUGGGCGAAACUGGAAUGAGUCAUGCUAUUGAUGCAAGAAUAUAUAAAGAUGAAGAAGAGGUUGAUAUUGGUUACAAGCAACCAACAAAUGAAAAAAAUGGGUAUAAUCAACGAGUAUGUUUCAAAGAUUAUAGUGAUAAGGAAAUGAAAACUUUGAGCUAUUAUACUCGAAAGCAUUGGGCAAGGGCAACUACUGAGGUAUUGGUGAAAGUAGGAGAUAUAGAAGAACCAAUUGUUGAUUUAGUCGACCAUGGUUCUAAAAUAAAUCUCAUGUCUAAAGAUCUUUAUAAGAAGCAAAAAUGACCAAUUGAUAUGGAACAUGGAUGGGCAAUAUGAACAACUAAUAACACAUGGGGCAAAUUAUAUGGAGCUUGUCCAGAUGUCAAAAUUUGGAUUGGGGAUGUUGCGAUGGAGCAACAUUUCUUUGUUCAAGAUACAACAUCUUAUCCGUUGAUUUUAGGACAACCUUAUAUCACAACAACACGGAUGGAAACAAAAGUACUUGAUGAUAGUUCUGCUUAUGCAAGGGUCCGUAGCGAAGAUGGGAGGAAAACUGUAUAAUUUCUAACAAUACCUCCUAACCAUGAACGAAAUCGAGAUAGGUUGAGGGAGAAACCAUUGCCAAAGAUUGUUGAAGGAUUUAAGGAUUUUUGGGAGGUACUACUAUAAAGCAAGAUUAUGGAGGUAUAAAAGAGGAGGUACUCUCGCGAGAUGAAGGUGCCUUUGAUGCAAGUUUUAUUGGUAUUUUGGAGAAUGGAAAUAUUAUGUAUAAAAAAGUUGAUGAUUUUAAAAGAAAAGAAAGAAAAGAGAUUAUAUAAUAUUGAAGGAAAAUUAUGCAAGUUAGGUACGCAGCAAGAAGAUGAAAGUGAUUUGAAUAAUGAAGGUGACAAAGACAAACUGGACAAAGACGUAGAGAAUAUAUUAUAAAUCAAACAGCAAUUGGGUAAAUUGGUGCAUACCGGAUGAUGCAUAGGUUCAGAGGGGGUGGAUGUCAUGUUGUGACACGAGUAUACUGUGAAAAUAUAAAAAAAGGGGACUUUUAUUAAUGUUCAGUUGCCUUGAAUAUUAGGAGCAACGACCGAUUCCAGUGCCAAUAUUCAGGGGCUUGUUCAAACACCCCGUCACAGUCGGUCAGGGCAUACUUAUCAGUAAUGAAAUGCUCCAUUCGAGUCCAAUAGUGGGAGUCAAUAGAAUCAAAAGGACUAAAUUGAUGACUGAGCGAGCCUGACGCGAAGGACCAAUUUGAUCCAAUUACGAGAACAUCCAGGUCUUACUACGGGCCUCUUGGCCAAUAUGAGACCUGAAUUGGUCGGGCGACUCAAUGUGGUCCUGAUUACGGGGGUUUCGAUUUUGUUUCAAGCUAUCCUGUUCUCUAUGCCAUUUCAAGGAACGUUGUUUCUGGAAAAAGAACCUUUUAAAAGGCAAAAAAUGGAGGAAAAAGCUCUGACAGCGGGAGCCAAUUCUGGAUCCAAGACAGAAGAUUGAAGAAAUUCAGAGGCUAGGGUUUAAAAGUGGGGAGAAUUAGGGUUAAAGGGGAGGAUAGGUUAAGAAAUGAAGGUAGGAAGAAUCAGGGUUUUUAAGGGGGAAGAGCUAGCUUCAUGCUUCGGGGGAGGAAAAAAAAAGACAGAGAAUUGGGGUUUUUUUUUCAUAGGAUUUUGGGAAGACUUCUGGCAAUCAAUGCUGAGAGGUCGAUGUGUUGUACUGGUGAAUCGGGAUUUUAAUGAAGUAGAUAUAAUUACUCUUGACUGUUUUGUGAAAUCAAAGUUACGUCUGUGAUUAAAGAAUUAAAAGGGUGUCUAUAGGAUUGAGUAUGCAGAGUGAAUGAAAAUUUUUGGGUUAAUCUAACAAGACAGUCAAUGGAUACAAGGUCGUGAGUAUAAAGUGGUAUCAGAGAUUAGCACAUUGAAUUGUUCGGGGUUCUCUGUAAUGUCUAGAGAUCUAUCGACUGGGGCAAAAAGGAUUUCGACGAGCAGCCGAAGGACAUCCAUAUAGAUUUACGAUAUUUUCUUGUAAUUAUUUAUAUUCUAACAGUCAAAAACCGAUAGACUGCUUGAAUAUUAGCAAAUCUCCAUACUAUCUUCUACAACCAGAUGUCCGGUGCGUUCUCGAGUAAGAAAGCACGUAAUACGACAACGGGUGACAGUAAUUGGCCCCUGAAUAUUGGCACUGGAAUUGGCCACUACUACUAACAUUCAAGAUGACUAAAUAUUAAUAAAAAUCUUCUUCUUUUGUAUUUUUACCAUAUAGUCGUAUUACAACACGACAUCCAUCUCUCCCUAAACUUGUGCAUCUUUUGGUAUGCACCAAUUAACCUAGUUGUUGUUCGACUUAUAAUAUGUUCUUCAAGUCUUUACCGAAUCCAUCUUCAUUAUCUUUACUAUCCAAAUCAAUUUCAUCUCCUCCCUGAAAAACAUCUAUGUCUUCACUAUGGUCUUCUAUAUUUAUUUCUAAGUAUCUUUGUUUAAAUAUUUUUACUCGCUUCCUUGCAAUUGGUAUUUUUAAUCUCGUUCCAUCUAAUUCUUGCAAUGAGUAAGUUGCAUUAUCAUGAACAGUUGUUACCACAUAUGGUGCAAACCAUCGCUUAGAAAACUUUCUUAAAGUAUUGUGUUGAUUGUUCAAGCUACUAUCAUAGACCAAAAUCCAAUCACCUUCUUCAAUUGCUUUAGGCCUCAAUUGAUGUUGCUUAUCAAAUCGUGUCUUGUUUUGUAACCUUGCUCUUUUUAACCUUUUUGAUGCUAUCUGCACAUCUUCUGAUCUUUGCUCUAAUUGUCAAAUUCUAAUAGCUAGAAGUUCUUCUCUUAUCAAUCCAUCUUCCCAUGGUAGCACACUCUAAGUAAGUACCUUAUCCUCAACCGACAUAAUUGGUUUUUGACUUGUCAUAAGUUCAAUAGGCAUAUAUUCCGUUACUGAGCUAUGAGUUGUUUGAUCAACCCAUAAUACAAAUGACAAAAGUCAUGGCCAUUGUCUAACCUUCCCUUUACAACCUUUAACUAAUGCUUUCACAAUCGGUCGGUGACCACGUUCACUUUUUACAUUUCCUUCCGGAUUAUAAAUAGUAUUCAGUGAUAGUUUAAUUCUACAUCUUUCAAAGAAUUCAUGACCUUCUUGUACAUUUAAUUCUCUAUAAUCUGCAGUGAUUUUUCCUACACAUCCAUAGCGGCAAAUAACAUCUUCAAGCAAAAACCUAUAAAUUUUCUCCAUAGACUUUGUUUUCAAUGCUCUUCCUUCUACUUGAUUUGAUAAAUCUUCACCAACUAAGACCAAAUAUCUCCUUUUUUAUAAUCUGAUUAGCAUAAUAACCAAAUCAACAAUCCAUUUAAAAUGAAUAGCCAGAGGAUAUGUAAGAUGAAGACCAUCUUGAUGUCGUAUAUUAGAAUACACUUGAUAAAUUUCACACGACUCUACAAAUAAGAGCACAUCUCGAUACAUAUUUCUCUACCAAUAUCGUUCCUUGAGCUUAGCAAAAGUAGCCCAAAUUCUUCUAUGCCCUGUCCAUGAACUAUCAUGAAACUCUUUUAAUAAUUUUUGUUUUUCUUCCUUACUGCCUAUCACUCUUUGUAGCAUCCCAAUUCCUUUCUUCGGUCUCUUCCAUAAGAAUCCUUCUCAAAGCAAAAAUCCAUAUGCUUUCUUCCUUAUUUGUUUGAAUUUUUCUACAGACCAAUUUCUUUGCUUAGUCAAGGUAUUUAAGUAAUGACCAAUAUCCAAUAAUUCUCCUUCAUAAAAUCCUUCAAGAAAUAGCUUGUCUUCUCAGGUAAGAUUUGAUACUGAAUAGAAUUUCAAUCCAACAUCAUCAAUGUCUUCAACUAUUUUGUCUUCUCCUUCGUAUCUUGCUCAAGAUAUCAUGUCUGCUAUCAAAUUAUCUUUUCCAGCAACAUGCCUAAAUUUCGGAUUUAGUGACUUAAUAUAAGCAAUCCAUCUUAACAUUGCAAUAUCUAGUGUCGAACAAUUAGUAAACAUUCCAAGCAAUGAUAAGCAAUCUGUUUCAAUUACUACUUCUGCCCCAAUCAAAUAAUCCUUUUCAGCUUUCAUAGCCGAAACAACUCUCCAAAGUUCCCUUUUGACUUGUGAAUAUGCAUGUUGAUAAGUACUUAAAACUUUAGCUCCAAAUCGAACUGCAAAUCUAUUUCCACUUAAAUCAUCUUGACCCACGGCCCACCCAAUAACAAUAGGACUGGUAUCCACAGUAAGAAUUACUUGCUUAUUACAGUCGUAAUCAAUUCUUCUUAAAAUUGAAGGUGUCAUCAAUAAUACCUUUAGUUUUUGCAUUGCUUUAGUAUACUUUCUUUAUCAUUUAAAUCGAUAAGCCUUAGGUAAUAAUUCAUACAAUGGAUUCGCUAUAUGAGCAUAAUGAAGAAUCUAUAUAUGGUAAAAUACACAAGCCCCUAAAAACCAGCGUACUUCUAUUAAAGAGUCACAUGAAUCUUUCAUCCUUCUCAUUGCAUCAACUUUGCUUGGAUCUGGCUUUUUCCUAUAAGAUCCAUACAAAUGCCCAACAAUAAGAACUUUCUGCAUUCCAAAUAUAGAUUUUGUUCCUGACAAUGUAAGACGAACUUCCUCAAGUCGAGUUUAAAUCUUUUCACAAUCUUGUAUAUGAUCAACAACAUAUUUAUGAUAUCCUCUUUCAUCUAAAGUUUCAUCUUUUUCUCCUUCUUUAUAUCCUUUGAUAGGAACAUCAUCCAAAAAAGGUAUAGUUUUCUUAGGGAUGAAGUCUCUUAGUACUUUGUUCAUCCCGUUCAUCAUAUGAGCAAUUAAGUUAGUAGCACCUUAUGGAAGAGUACAUAUUUUAAGCAAUCCAAGUGGCAUUCUCAUUGUCGUUAGAUCUCUACUCCCAUAUGUAAGUUGAAAUUGAUCAUAACCCAAAUAUAAAUCACCUAUUGAAUAAAUUGCCCUUCCCAUAAAUGCUUUUGUAAACUCAUCUACUAAAGAUCCUAUACCUGCAUUUCUUAUAGUUAUAGCAUUCAUUGGCUGCAUAUCUUGAAUAAAAUGUAACGAUCCAUUUUUCUUAGGCAUCGUAAACCAACGACUAGAAUACGGAGCAAAAGAAGGCUCCAGAAUUUUUAUUCUCAUCUUUUCUUUCAGCAAUUCCACCAAUUUAGAUAAAUGUGCCCUCAAUAUUAAAAUCGGCCUUAAGUUCUAAAGUACAUGAAGUACUGUAAAGAUAACCAUAGGAGCAACAACAUUAGGAUCUACACAUCCUAUUUCUCAAGAUUCAAAGGCAAACAAUUUACCUCAUUUAGCAAGUAUUUUUUAAAAAUAUUCGAUUUCUGCUUGAAAUAAAGAACCAUCAUAUCCAAUCUUCAAUUCUUCAAAAGUCUCCUUUGUAAACCAAUGUCCAAUAUUCUUCAAAUUUCUUAAACUCUCUUCUUUUGAUGCUUCUUCCAUUUGUUCCCUAAAAUCUUUUGGUAAAGGUCCAGCAACAGGUUUUACCUUUUUAUCUACUGUUUUAUAUUUUGUCUCUACAAUAACUUCUAGUGCUCGAAAAGAUUCCAGUAUAGUAUAAACCUCCUUCGAAUGAA